UUUUUUUUUCCUUCAUUAUGUACACAGGACUCCGUUAACCAGAGGCCCUGUCCGGCGGCAAACCUGCCGAACUCAUGAUGCAACAGCCAGGGACGAAAGAAGGCUGCGACGAACACUCAGGUGGUCUCAAUCACGAGCAUUAAAUUCGAUUAUAUACACCAAGUCCGCAGCCCACCCCUGGAGCGGGACAUGUUUACUUAGUCCAAAUCCCUUGCUUACCGCACUACUUGUAUCAGUCUGCAUUCAUAGCAGAUUUUCUUUCAUAAACAAUGCAGCACCUUUUUGACUGCAAUUACAUUACCUUUUAUAUAUAUAUGCUCAUUACAUGACAUCUUGCACCCGUAUAUGUUGGUACGGCCGAAUACACCAGGGGCUUCUGUCCCCCAAGUUAUGGUGUGAUAAAGUCCGAACACUUUCAUAAGUACGGCACCCCGAACUUAUAGCAUUAUAUGAAUCGGCUCCGAAUCAUGUCUUGGGUCAAUAGUUGGGUUUGCCCGGCUCCCACGUUUUGGUGCCUUACGUUCCGUUCUGUCGGCUAAGGUGGCACUGGGAGAACCACUGCGAUUGCGCCCCGGUUGAGCCGGGCGAGCACCUCAGUGGAGAAAGCUAAAACUGACUGGCAUGAUAAGGCGAGAGACUGGUUGCUAUUCGAGAGGUUUCUUCGGGUCCUUAAAGACUCACGCCACUUCGAGCGAAGUUCCGGACAAUGUCCGACGAAGGCGUGGAUAGCGCCCCAGAUUCGGUCUUCCGAAUACCAGGGGCUUCGCCGAAAUUUAAAAUUAUAGAAUUCUAUGGCUAAGUGAGAGUGUUCAAGCAUUAUAAGUCCGGUUGCCUUGUUCGUUGUGUUGAGCGCCUCCCUAGAUGGACCCAAAAAUGGGAACAAGAGUGCUCAAGUUUAUCCCGAACACCCCAGCACUCGUGGCUUGGGGGCUGAACCCAACGACUUGCCAUCUCUCAGAUUUUAUAAACGGCCGCACAGAAGGUAAUAUUUUAAAUGAAACAAGCGUUGCUUAAUGCGCACAUGAACAAUGUUUCAGCGCAAAGGAUAAUACAUAACAAGUUUACUCAAAGAUUACAUUUCUGGGGCACUCAUCCGCAAUAUCGCGGGCUCCCUUCAGGACAGUUUUAUAAUACAUUUCAGGCGUGCGAUACUCCUUGCCCGGUGGCGGUGGAUCCGUGAGAAGCUUCUCCGCAUCCAACUUGCCCCAGUGCACCUUUGUGCGGGCAAGGGCCCGACGAGCACCUUCAAUACACGCGGAGCGCUUGAUGACAUCCACCCAGGGGCACGCAUCCACCAGCCGCCGCACGAGGCCAAAGUAGCUCCCAGGCAUGGCCUGUUUAGGCCACAGCCGGACUAUAAGGCCCUUCAUGGCCUGCUCAGCUACCUUGUGGAGUUCGACCAGCUGCUUCAGUUGGUCGCUUGGGGGCACCGGAUGGCCGGCCUCAGCGUACUGAGACCAGAAGACCUUCUCCGUCGAGCUCCCCUCCUCGCCACGAUAGAAUGCGGCGGCAUCAGACGCACUACGCGGCAGAUCUGCAAACGCCCCUGGAGAGCUCCGAAUGCGGGUAAGUGUCAGGUAGUUUACAUUAACAUGCCUGCUUUGCAUGAAAAAUGCCUUACCCGCCGCUAUCUUCUUUAUAUCUUCAACCUCCUGAAGGGCCUUAUGGGCCUCGGCCUUGGCGGACUUGGCACUUUCGAGAGCCGAGGCAAGCUCGGACUCUCGAGUCUUGGAGUCACGCUCCAAACUCUCAUGUUUCUCCAUGAGAUCCUGGAGCUCUUGCCAAAGUUCCGCCACCCGUGCCUCCUGCUUUUCUCGCUCCGCCCGUUCCGCGGCCGCACUGCGUUCAGCCGCGGACACGGCCUCCUUCAGGGCUGCCACCUCGUUAGUGGCCCCUGCAACACCCGUAUUAUCCUUAUUAACUUUAUCGCAACCAAAACCCUUUUCUGUAAGGUAAUUAUUCAAAGUGGUGUUACUCACCUUCUUUUUCCUCGAGCUGCCUCUUGGCAUGGCCGAGCUCUUGCUCGGACCGCUCGAGAUCCUUCUUCAACACAUCGACCUCUGCCGAUAGUGCGGCAGAGGUCAGCAGCGCAGCCUGCAAACCCAUAUUGACAUAUUUUAAGCAACCCUGCGUAUAUCUUGUUAGAUCCUCAGUCCGGCUUUUCUUUCCGAACACCGAACUGAGCAUCAGGGGCUACUGUCUAUGCGGUAUUACAUUACAUAAUUUUAACUUCUUACCUCAAAGCCUGUUAAAAGGCUGCUGCAGGCCUCGGUCAGCCCGCUCUUGGCGAGCUGAACCUUCUGAAUCACCGCACUCAUGAUAGUGCGGUGUUCUUCCUCGAUGGAAGCGCCUUUAAGCGCCUCCAACAAGUUAUCUGGCGCCUCCGGUUGGACGGAGAUCGCCGGUGUCACGGUCUUGCCCUUCCUCCGAAGGGGCCGCCCACCGGACUCUGGAACCACUGUGGGUUCCGAGGUAGAGUCCAGCACAAAGUCCGGGAGGCAGCCUGACGGCGCCUCCGGAGCCUCCUCCUGAUGGGUCCCUCUCUGGGAUCCCACCUUGGCGUCUUCGCCGGCGCGGGGGGUAGUGGCAGUCGGAAGUGAAUCCACAUCCGACGGGGCCAAUGACCCGCUUGAUGAAGCGGGGAGAUCAUCAUCGGCCGGACUACGGACAGAACGCGGCAUUAGAAGGACACUACGCGACACGAAAGAAAUUACAUAUCAACGGAUCCGGAUACUUACGAUCUUGCCGGACGCCUAGCCCUUGGAGACCAUUCAUCCUCGCCAACGAUGGUGUUGGCGAAACUGUCCGGGGGGAUAGUCCUCCCCCUCUUGGACCCUUCGGCCUCCCCUAUUGGGGAAGCCUUCCUCUUCUUCUCUCCCUCCUCUGGGAGAGAGUCCUCCUCCUCCUCCUUGUCUUCGGGGGAGGAGUCCGCGUCGUCGUCAGACGCCUGAUUGCGGGAACUCUUUCGAGUCCCCGCGGCCACCUUCUUGGCCUUCUUCUCCGGCACCACGUGCGGUGCCGGAACCAACAGCCCUGCUAAACGGGCGUUCUCUGGGUCUUCUGGCAUGGGAGCCGGGCUGAUGAGCUGCUUGGCUUUCUCCAUCCAUUCCUGUCAAAGGAAAGAAGGAAACCCUCUGAGAAUCAACUUAAUUACCACAAGUGUCCCGUAAUGGGGUUGAAUCACUUACCUCGUCAGCCGGAUGCUGCGAGCAGAAUCCGCGAUCUUCCGUCGCGGAUACGGGGGCUUCGGCGCCCUUGAACAGCACCCUCCAGGCACCUUCGUAUGUCGUAUCGAAGAGCCCGCUCAGCGCCUGGUGCUGUUCCGGAUUGAACUCCCACAGAUUGAAUGCCCGUUCUUGGCAUGGGAGAAUCCGGCGGAUGAGCAUGACUUGGACCACGUCGACGAGCCUGAGCUUAUUGCUCACCAGCUUCUGGAUGCAGGCUCGGAGUCCCGUCACCUCCUUCGGAUUGCCCCACUGCAAGCCCUUCUCUUUCCAGGAGGUGAGCUGCGUGGGGACGCCAGAUCUAAACUCGGGGGCCGCCGCCCAUGUGGGCUUGCGCGGCUCGGUGAUGUAGAACCACCCCGAUUACCACCCCUUGACGGAGUCCACGAAGGCCCCUUCGAGCCAAAGGACGUUGGGCAACUUGCCCAACAUGGAGCCUCCGCAUUCCGCCUGCGUACCCUUCACAACCUUUGGCUUGACGUUGAAGGUCUUGAGCCACAGGCCGAAGUGGGGCUGGAUGCAGAGGAAGGCCUCGCACACGACGAUAAACGCCGAGAUGUUAAGGAUGAAGUUCGGCGCCAGAUCGUGGAAAUCCAGGCCGUAGUAAAACAUGAUCCCCCGGACGAAUGGGUGGAGUAGAAAGCCUAGUCCGCGGAGGAAGUGGGGAAGGAAGACGACCCUCUCAUGAGGCCCGGGGGUAGGGAUGAGCUGCCCCUUGUCGGGCAGCCGAUGCGCAACAUCGCCGGAAAGGUAUCCGGCGCUGCGCAGCUUGGUGAUGUUCUCCUCCUUAACGGAGGAGGCCAACCAUUUGCCUCCAGCUCCGGACAUAUUCGGAGAAGGUCGAGGCGAGAUGCGCGAGCUUGGGCGUUGGAGCUUGAGUGCGCGGAGAUGGAUAAGCAAAGGAGGAAGAAGGCGUAGGUGAGAAGGUAAAUCCUUAUCCCUUAUAUAUAGGCGGACGAAAACUAUGCGUCCCCCACCGGCCUGGUAAAACUCGCUUAUCUCCCAAGCGCCACCAUCAAUGGCGCGGUUGGGUUACCCACGUCCAUAUUGAUGAGAAUCCCGGAAUAAGGGGAACACGAUCUCUUCUUCGACAAGACGUGCCAAGGAAACCGCUUCGCUAAACGUGCUGAGGUGGUAUAGUAAAAAACGAUUCAAGUAAAAGCCUGGUAGCGGUGUGAUGUCACGCCGCAUAAUACGUUAGCAGAUUAAACUAGUGUACAUUUUAUUCUCUCUACGGUGGAAUGUCGAAUUUAUUUUGCAGAGCCGGACACUAUCCUGGUGUUCAUGAUCUUCUCUGGAUUAUUCAAGGGAGGAACCCGCCUUGCAAUGCCGAACAUUAUGCGCGCCGGACUAAUCGUCAUUGAAGCCUGGUUCAGGGGCUACUGAGGGAGUCCUGGACUAGGGGGUGUCCGGACAGCCAGACUAUCAUCGUCCGCCGGACUCCAAGACUACGAAGAUACAAGAUUGAAGACUCCGUCCCGUGUCCGGAUGGGACUUUCCUUGGCGUGGAAGGCAAGCUUGGCGAUACGGAUAUGUAGAUCUCCUACCAUUGUAACCGACUCUGUGUAACCCUAGCCUCCUACGGUGUCUAUAUAAACCGGAGGGCUUUAGUCCAUAGGACACAACAUACAUUACAACAAUCAUACCAUAGGCUAGCUUUAGGGUUUAGCCUCCUUGAUCUCGUGGUAGAUCCACUCUUGUACUACCCAUAUCAUCAAUAUUAAUCAAGCAGGACGUAGGGUUUUACCUCCAUCGAGAGGGCCCGAACCUGGGUAAAAACAUCGUGUCCCUCGUUCCUGUUACCAUCUGCCUAGACGCACAGUUCGGGACCCCCUACCCGAGAUCCGCCGGUUUUGACACCGAUAGUAGCCAUGGACAUGGUCGGCCCUUUUUGAAGAGAGUACUAAAUAACUUUGCUGUGUCCCGUCAACUCGAUGCACUACAAAAAAAUACACUUCCGUGAUGAUACGUGUUUGUCACAGUAGGUCGCGUUUUUGUCAUGCAUGUACAUGCAUGACGAUUUUAUGACAGAAUCAAGAUAGUCAUACUUGUGCUGUCGUAGAAGUGUUCCAUGACAUUACCAAAAUUAUCAUCAUGGAAGUGUCCACUUCCAUGACAAUAAAUCGCGCGUCACAUAAGUGCUUUCGUCAAGGGUGACCGACACGUGGCGUCCACCGUAACGGAACGAUGUUAAGCUAUCGGGUCGGGUUUUGGAUUCGAUAACCCGUUAACAGCCCUGACCAAUGGGGAUUUUCCACGUCUAAAAUCAUCAUGGGCUGGAAGAAACACGUGUCGGCUCAUCAUUGGGACAGAUGUCAUCCACUCAUUCGACAGAAGGCGCCUAUGAUACAUCGACACGUGGCAUGACCCAAUAGAGGCCCAUUCCUGUGAAAAGGCCGGCCCGUUUGACUUGGUCAAAAGUUGGCGGGCCGGCCCAUGGAAAGCCGGUUAAUGGCCUGUUCGCAUAUAGCCCAUCUACAACCCGCUAACCCAAGGCCCGUUACGCCCUAUCCGAAUUAGGCCCAGUAGCGUCAUCUGGGCCCUCCAAUAUGAUUCCAGCCCGUUUUCACUUCUGGCCCAUGUAUGGCCCAUGACGUCUUUUGGCCCAUAUGAGGCCCUUUGUAACUCUUGGCCCAUUAACGUCCCGUGGUGAAACUGGCCCGCAGUGAACAGUGUAUCACUUUAUACCCAUUAACGACCCGUGGUGAAACUGACCUGUAAUGAACAGUGUAUCACUUUAUACCCAUUAAUGGCCCGUUAUUUCGUUGGGCCGUUUCCAUCCCAUGCUAUCUUUCGGCCUUCUCAGAGCCCAUUUACUCUUGGGCUCAUUUCCAGCAUUCGUUUACUUACGGCCUGUUACUGUCAUUUUCUGCUUGUGGGCUAAAUUCAGCCUGAGGUUACAGUUGGCCCGUUUUGUGGCCCGUUAAUACAUAUGGCCAUUUUCAUAGCGUCAUCAAAUACGGUCGGUUAACGACGGCCCGUUAUGGUCGGCCCAUGAACAAAAGAUUCCAACUCUAGCCCGUUUACGCCCAUAAUGCGGUCUGUUAUUGGCCCAUGUUUGGCCAACCGAUCAUACGGCCCGUAGAAGGCCCAUUAAUGAUACGGCCCGUAGAAGUUGUGUCUAUGACCCGUAGAAGGCCCAUUGUUUCUACGGCCCUUAGAAGGCCCAUUGUUUCUACGGCCCGUAGGAGGCCCAUGGUAACUACAGUAAAUAUGUAGCCCAUGGUUAUUGUGGCCCAGUUUUAAAAAAUAGGUUAUUGCGGCCACUAGCAAACUGCGGAAAAAGAACUGCACUGACUACAAGCAAAGAAAUAAACAAGACAAUAAGAAAAUAAAUAAGCAAGCAACUUACGCUAGGCUAUCACGGCUAUUACACAUAUUACAUCCACUGGGCAUCAAAGUUUGCCACCAGUGCAAAUAUAGGGAACACAGCAACAUAUAAACACCGCAGCAAAACAAGUCCAGAACUGAAACCACUUUAGAAGAGCUCAAGAAACAAUAUCCUGGGUACCCAUAAUGCUGGCAAGAUGCUUAGCAAGCUUAUCAACUUUCUCUUGUUUGGCGCUUAAGUCCUCCAGCACUUGCUGUUGCACCAGAAAGUAUGCAUCUAAAUUCUGCAGGGACUUCCUCAGUCCUUUGGCUUCCUGUCGCAUAACAUCUGAUCGAUGUCUUUCAACUUGAAGUUGAGACUCGAGAAGCCGAACUGAUUCAGGAAACAAGUUCGAAGAGCUGGUGCGAGCUGUAGUAGCCAGUAACUCGAACACUACAUCAAGACAGGACUCUAGGGUUGUCUCAGUGUCUUCAAUAUAGUUUUUAUCAGCUUUCUUGGAGACCAAUAGGGAUGUCUCACUAUGUUGAACCUUAUCUGCAUUACUUUCUUUACCAUUGCAUAACAGGGUACACUUCUCCAAUAUUUUAUCCGCGUUCUAAAAGAGAAACAAACAAACACAUCACAUGUUUACAAUGUAGUAUAUGAAACUCAUUUUGGUAAACCAGUUCAAUAGUAAGGUGGACAGGAUAACAACAUGAAACAAACAUAUAUCUAUGUAGUAUGGCCACUGUAUGGUCUAUAUCAUUCUAGUUUAUGUUGCCAAAUCAAGAUAGAUACAGUUCGAACCAUAUCUAUUUAAGACAAAGCGGCAUAGACAGAAUAUAAGUGUGGGAAACUACACAGCAAUAACAACACUUGUAAUGUGCAUGGCAUGAGAACAUAACUGUUUAUUCAAUUGAAACUGAAAUCAACAUAGAGCAAGUUACAACAGCAAACAGCCAAACACGUUGAAGAAACAGGUUUAAAACAUACCUGUUGCGCCAUUGGAGUUUCAAUUGCAUCCUUCAAAUUUGAAAUUAGUUGGAAUGAGCAAAUACAGUGAUGCAAGAGCAAAGUAGUAUGAACCAUAGCUACGGAACCUGACCUGAGAACAAUUCUUCUUCUGCUUUAAGCGUUGACUUGGGGUUCGGAGUGGUGGUCCUCGUGCUUUGGGCACUGCAGUUGCCUUACUAACUGCUCAUGUUUGGGUGCUCUAUGGUGGAGACUGUGCUGUGUCAACGGGAACUAGGUGUCUAUCUGCUGGGGUUGGGGUUAGAAGGCGUGUAGCUGGUUCUCUUUCCAACUGGGUAGGGGUACAAUCUGCAUGAGUGUGGGUUAUGUGUGGUGGGGCUGGUUCGUGGGCAAGUACAACCGUGGUUCUAUCUGCAUAGACAGGUAGCACGAUCUUUUCUGAAGACCGUGUUUUUACUCCCACAGAUACUGCCAUCACUCCCUCCAAUUGAAAUGGCAGAUAAACAAGAAAAGUAAUUGAAUGUAUAGACAUUGUAAGAUAGACAGGUGCAAUGGAUAGUAGGGAAGAAAACAGGGCAUGAAAUAAUUCACAUUUAUGUUGUCUAACCAAACAGAAUAGCAGGACAUAAUUUCACAUAUAUGAUGGCUAAUUAAAUAGGAUAGCAUGACACAAUUUCACAUGUAUGAUGGCUAACUAAACAUGAUAGAAUGACAUACUUCAAAAUAUGAUCACUAUGUAAACAGGAUGACAUGAUAUAACUAUAUGAUGUGUCUAUUAAAGUGGUUGGCAUGCCAUAAAUCACAAACAUGCCGUGGAUGGAAACAUGAUGGCAUGAUAUAAUUCACGUAUAGAAUGACAUAUGAUGUAAAAACUAAGGAUUGCAAUACAACAUAUGCAUGAUAUGAGUAAUAUAACCCUGCCAAGUUUGAGCAUACACCUCAGGGGGAUAAUAAGACUGUUCAUCUGCCUCCGAAUCCUCCUCUGAAGAGCUAUCUGUAACCAGCAAGAUAUUUGCUUCAGCAGGUAGCAUUGUCUGCUCUGAAGACCUUGUUUUCAUUCCAGAUUUCUCCAUCACCAAUUCAAAUGGAUGAUGCACAGGAAGAGCAGUUGAAUAUACAAACAUUGUCGACAAAAGCAAUGAGAAAUACAAAAAAAGGACUGCAUGAUAUAAUUCACAUAUAUGACGCUUGCCUAAACAACAUGGCAUUGCAUAAUUCACAUACAUAAUGCCUUGCAACAAGAUAACAUUGCAUAAUUCACAUAGAUAAUGUCUUGCAACAAGAUGGCAUUGCAUAAUUCACAUAUAUGGUAAUUAUACACUAAACAGGCGGCAUUCACACAAAGCAUGUGAGGGAGUCCUGGAUUAGGGGGUAUCCGGACAGCCGGACUAUAUACUUCGUCCGGACUAUUGGAGCGUGAAGAUACAAGACUCAAGACUCUGUCCCAUGUCCGGAUGGGACUCUCCUUUGCGUGGAAGACAAGCUUGGCGAUCCGAAUAAUAUAUUUCCUUCCUUGUAACCGACUCCGUGUAAACCCUAGCCCUCUCCGGUGUCUAUAUAAACCGGAGAGGUUGGUCCUUAGAAGGACGAUCACGAUCACAAUCAUAAUCAUCAUAGGCUAGCUUCUAGGGUUUAGCCUCUACGAUCUCAUGGUAGAUCUACUCUUGCACUACUCAUAUCAUCAAUAUUAAUCAAGCAAGAAGUAGGGUUUUACCUCCAUCGAGAGGGCCCGAACCUGGGUAAACAUUGUGUCCCUUGCUUUCUGUUACCAUCAGCCUAAGACGCAUAGAUCGGGACCCCCUACCCGAGAUCCGCCGGUUUUGACACCGACAUUGGUGCUUUCAUUGAGAGUUCCUCUGGGUCGUUGCUGCAAGGACCGAUGGCUCCUUCAAUCAUCAUCAACAACACGGUCCAGGGUGAGACUUUUCUCCCCGGACAGAUCUUUGUGUUCGGCGGCUUCGCACUAUGGGCUAAUUCGCUUGGCCAUCUGGAGCAGAUCGACAGCUACGCCCCUGGUCACCAGCUCAGGUUUGGAAACCUAAACUACACGGCUGAUAUCCGCAGAGACUUAAUCUUCAACGGAUUCGGGCCUGUUCCAGGAGCGCCGGACGGUCACGAUGAGCACGGCUUAGACCUACAGUCGGACAAUGCUCAGGAUGUCAUCCCUGCGGCAGACCCGGACCUAAAUCCGGAGCAGACCGCAUUCCCUAAGGACGGAGGGAUGGACCCCGCCCCGCAGGCCGCACACUCAUCGGCGGUGGAGUCGAACACAGGCCUCGCCCCCGAAGAAGCCUGUGACACCGGACCCCCGGACUCGUAUCCGGCGGUAGGUCCCAGCCCGCGCUCUCCUGAGCCCGCCGAACCUGGUUGGGCUCCUGUAAUGGAGUUCACCGCAGCGGAUAUCUUCCAACACUCGCCCUUUGGCGACGUGUUGAAAUCGUUAAAGUCUCUCUCUUUGUCAGGAGGCUCGUGGCCGAACUAUGUCUAGCUCGAGUGGGAAGCAGGCGAUGAAGGAAUUCGUUCCCCACCCACCACCCACUUCAUUGCCACGGUCGAUGAUCUAACCGACGUGCUUGACUUCGACUCCGAAGACAUCGACAGUAUGGACGACGAUGCAGGAGAAGAACAGGAACCACCGCUCACGGGGCGGUGGACAGCCACCUCCUCAUAUGAUAUAUAUAUGGUGGACACUCCGAAGGAAACCAAUGGCGAUGAGGCAAUAGAGAAUAACCCCUCAGGGAGAAAAGCAAAGCAUGGGCGUCAUCGACGCCGCUCCAAGCCCCGCCACAGCAAUACCGGCCCAGGAGACGAAAACAAUCCGGAUGAUGCCGAAGAGAAAUACAACCCUGAUCAGCCUGCCUUCGAGCAGGCCGAUCAGGAGGAUGGGCAGGUUAGCCCAGACGAACAGGCGACGGAUGGAUAUCCGGAGGAGGACAACUACAUGCCCCCUCUGAAGACGAGAUUAGACUCGGCGAUGACGAGUUCGGCAUGCCUAAGGACCCCGUCGAGCAGGAACGCUUCAAGCGUCAGCUUAUGGCCACUGCGAGGAGCCUGAAAAAGAAGCAUCAACUCCAAGCUGAUCAAGACCUGCUCAUAGAUAGAUGGACUGAAGUCCUGGUAGCCAAGGAAUAUGGACUUGAGCACCACACGGCUGACCGGCCACCUCAUGGCCGGGAUAAAACGGCAUAUUAGCCCGAAUACCAGCCUGCACCCCCACGCCAAUACACUACGUUCCCGGGGCAAUAGGCAAGACCUACAAGAUAUACUAGAAAACAAAGUAGGACAGCCAAGGUCGAUCUACGGAUCGCAGGGGCACGCCCCAACACGCGACAAUGACCGUCACGCCGGAUACACUAUCAACAAGUCCGUCCAGGCCGAACACAGCCAUCCAGACCAAUUCGAACUGCGUAGCCACAUAACCUGGCACAGAGGCGCCGCACACCCCCUCUGCUUCACUGACGAAGUGAUGGAUCAUGAAUUCCCAGAAGGGUUCAAACCCGUAAACAUCGAAUCAUACGAUGGCACAACAGACCCCGCAGUAUGGAUCGAAGAUUUCCUUCUCCACAUUCACAUGGCCCGCGGAGACGAUCUACACGCCAUCAAGUAUCUCCCCCUUAAGCUCAAAGGACCCGCCCGACACUGGCUAAACAACCUGCCCGCAAAUUCCAUUGGCAGUUGGGAAAACCUGGAAGACGCGUUCCUCGACAACUUCCAGGGCACAUAUGUGCGACCACCGGACGCCGAUGACUUGAGCCACAUUAAUCAACAGCCCGGAGAGUCAGCCAGGAAAUUCUGGACUCGGUUCCUAACUAAAAAGAACCAAAUAGUCGACUGUCCGGACGUCGAAGCCCUGGCGGCCUUUAAGCAUAAUAUCCAUGACGAGUGGCUCGCCCGACACCUCGGCCAGGAAAAACCCAAGUCCAUGGCAGCUCUCACGACACUAAUGACCCGCUUUUGCGUGGGCGAGGACAGCUGGUUGGCUCGCAAUAGCACUACGCCACAUUCUGGCACUUCGGAUGUCCGUGACAAUAACGGCAAGCCACGGCGCAACAGACAUAAGCGACGGAACAACGGCGAUAACACCGAAGACACGACAGUUAAUGCCGGGUUCAGCGGAUCCAAGUCCGGUCAGUGGAAGAAGCCAUUCAAAAGAAACAAUCAGGGACCGUCCAGUCUGGACCGCAUACUGGAACGCUCGUGCCAAAUUCAUGGCACCCCGGACAAGCCAGCCAACCACACUAAUAGAGACAGCUGGGUGUUGAAACAUACCGGUAAAAUAAACGCCAAAAACAAGGACAAGGGGUUGCACAGCGACAAUGACGAGGAGCCCCGGCGUCUGAACACGGGGGGUCAGAAGAAAUUUCCUCCCCAGGUGAAAACGGUCAACAUGAUCUACGCCACCCACAUUCCCAAGCAAGAACGAAAGCGAGCACUACGGGACGUCUAUGCGAUGGAGCCAGUCGCCCCCAAAUUCAACCCAUGGUCAUCUUGUCCGAUCACCUUUGAUCGUAGGGAUCACCCUACCAGCAUCCGUCACGGCGGCUCAGCCGCAUUGGUCCUAGACCCAAUUAUCAACGGAUUCCACCUCACGCGAGUCCUUAUGGACGGCGGCAGCAGCCUGAACAUGCUCUAUCAGGACACAAUGCGCAAAAUGGGCAUCGACCCUUCAAGGAUCAAACCCACCAAAACCACCUUUAAAGGUGUAAUUCCUGGAGUAGAGGCCCGUGCACGGGCUCUAUAACAUUGGAAGUGGUCUUCGGAUCUCCGGAUAAUUUCUGAAGCGAAGAGUUAAUCUUCGAUAUCAUCCCUUUCCGUAGUGGUUACCACGCACUGCUUGGACGAACCGCAUUCGCUAGAUUCAAUGUGGUACCACACUAUGCAUACCUCAGGCUCAAGAUGCCAGGACCGCGCGAGGUCAUAACAGUCAACGGAAACAUGGACCGCUCUCUCCGUACUGAAGAGCAUACUGCAGCCCUCGCGGCGGAAGUACAAUGCGGCCUCCUCCGACAAAUCACCAAUCCAGUGACGGCAACCUCGAGCACCUUCAAGCGAGUCUGGAGCACCCCGCAACAGGAUCACCAGGCCCGCCAAGAGCGCGACUAGCAGUCUGGCCUCCGCUGAAGCCCCAUCAAAGCAGCAUUCGUGCGACGCGUACACAAUUACGCACUCAAAAUACCAUGGGCAUAGGCGGAGGCACAUCAGUGACUCAGUCAACAGUGCGGUAUAACCGCAACAUACCUUCAUAACCCUCCCUUUUUAUCUUUCAGGACACUGCUUUAGGGCAGCCUCUUCAGAAGAGCCGGAUUAUCGGACUUACAUAGGAGAGAAAACCAAGGAGGCAACAGGCUUUGCGCACAAAAGGAAAUACCCAGGUGGAAUCUGUUCACGAUCGUUAUACCUGUUUUAUAUACCUACAUGCAGCCUGCCCUUGGAUAGGACAUGUUAAAUAGUUCUAUUUACUUAUGCUUAAACACACCCAUUGUAAACAUACGCUUAAACGUAUUAUUCAUCAAUGGGAGAUAAUAUAUAGCGUUAGCUUAUUAUUCCUAUUUGCGAAUUUUUCUUGCCAAUGUUUAUUUAAUAUUGCAUCCGUACACCUUGGUACGACCAGUUUGCCAGGGGCUUUUUAUGGUGCCUCAUAAUAUGGCAAAACAAGUCCGCACACUUUCAACAGUGCGGCACCCCAAACUUAUAGCACUAUAUGCAUCAGCUCUGAAUCACAUCUUGAGUCAAUAGUUGGGUUUGCCCGGCUCCCUUGUUUUGGUACCUUACGUUCCGUUAUAUCGGCUAAGGUAGCGCAGGGAGAACUACUACGAUUGUGUCCCGGUUCUUUUGGACGAGCACCUCAGUAGAGAAAGCCGAAAACUGACCAGCAUGAUGCGGGGAGAGCUGGUCGCUGUUCAAGAGGUCUUAAAAUCCUUAAAGAUUUUUUCUGCUUUAGGCGAGGAAUCAGCCUCGUCCGAUUUAGGCGUAUAUAGCGCCCCAAUUCGGCCCUCCGAAUUCUAGGGGCUUCGCCGAAAUUUAAAAUUGUAGACUUCUAUGGCUAAGUGAAAGUUAUAAAGCCUCAUAGUCCGAUUGCCUUGUUCGCUGUGCCGGAUACCUCCUUAAGGGACCAAAAAUUUGUAUAAAGAGUAUCCGGGUUUUUCCAGGAACACCCCGAUACUAGUUACAUGGGGGCGGAAGCCGACGACUGGCCUACUUUCAGAAUUCUAUAAACAGCCGCACAGAAGGUAAUAUUUUAAAUCAAACAGCGCUACAUAGCGCAAGUAGCUUCGUCUUUAUAUUACAACAACGACUGAGGUACAUUUACUCAAGUAUUGUGUCCUUGGUAUAUUCAUCGGCCACGAGACGAGCGCCCUUCAUAAAGCCAUCGUAAUAUUUCUUGGGAUAGCGACGCGCCUUGCCCUCCGGCGGCCCGUCCUUCACCAGCUUCUCCGCAUCCAGCUUUCCCCAAUGCACCUUCGCGCUGGCAAAGGCCCGGCGGGCACCCUCAAUGCAAAUGGAUCGCUUGAUAACUUCAAGCCGUGGAUAGGCAUCCACCAUCCGCUUGAUCAGGCCAAAAUAGCUAGUGGGAAAGGGCUCACCAGGCCACAUCCGGACUAUGAAAUCUUUCAUAGCCACUUCGGCCGCCCUAUGGAGUUCAACUAACUGCUUCAGUUGGUCACUCAGAGGCAUUGGGUGUUCGGCCCCAGCAUACUGGGACCAGAACAACUUCUCCGUGGAGCUCCCCUCCUUGGCACGGUAGAACUCCGCGGCAUCUGAUACGCUGCGUGGCAGAUCUGCGAAUGCCCAUGAAGAGCUCCGAAUUUGGGUAAGUAAAAGAAAUGCCUCCUCCACAUGUUUGCUUUGCAUAAAGAAUGUCUUACCCGCCGUUGUCUUCGUGGCCGCCUGGAUUUCCUGCAGUGCCUUUUCAGCUUCGGCCUUGGCGUCUUUCACACUGACAAGGGCCUUCGCAAGCUCAGUCUCUUUCAUCUUAAGAUCAUGCUCCAAGGACUCGAUCUUCUGGCCGAGUUCCUGGAGCUCUUGCUGUACCUCGCCCACUCUAGCAUCUUGCUUUUCGCGCUCCUUGCACUCCAAGGCCGCCUUGUCUUCGGCCUCGGACAGUGCUUUCUUCAGAGAUGCCACUUUGGUGCUGGCCCCUGUUACAAAGUCGCGACGCUUUGUCGUUAGAAUAACCAAUUUCAUCUAUACCUCAUCAUACGCGAACGGGGUAUCACUCACCUUUGUUCUCUUCGAGCUGCCUCUUCGUGAGGCUGAGCUCUCCCUGCACCUGCUCCAGGUCCCGUUUUAGUCCGGCGACCUCGGUUGUGCGGACAGUAGCGGCAAGCAGCACAGCCUGCUUAUUCAUAAAGACUUACUAUUAGACUCAUGCGGAUUUUAAUUGACCCUCCGUUUGGCUCUUCUUUCCGAACACCAAACAGAGUAUUAGGGGCUACUAUCUAUCGGGUGAUAAUUUUACAUUUUUUACUUACCUCAAAGCCCGUCAGGAGGCUGGUGCAGGCUUCGGUUAGUCCACUCUUGGCAGACAGAACCUUCUGAAUCACCGCACUCAUAAGAGUACGGUGCUCGUCAUCCAUGGAAGCGCCGCGAAGCGCUUACAGCAGACUAUCCGACGCCUCUGGCGUGACGGAAGUCAUUGGCACGGACAGUUCACCCUCCCUAACGGGGGGCCACCUACCCGAAUCCGGAACCAUCAAAGGUUCCAGCACAGUAUCCGGCUGAGAGCCCGGCUGGUUGGGGCUCUCAUCGGCAUGAUCCGUGGGGAUCCUGUACCCCGUGUGCCCGGCGUCUGGAAUCCUGCCUUGGGACGUCUCCAGAGUCACCUCCCCUUCUCCGGGAGCCUUUGGGACAACACCUUCGCGUCAUCCGCAGGUCGGGGAGUGGUGGCCGUCGGGAGCGAGUUCAUCUCUGAAUCACUCAAAGACCCAUCCGAAGAAGACACCUCGGGAUGGGCCCUGGCCGGACUGCAUAUAUGUUUGGCAUUAUAGCAAGACUAUUGAGCAAAGUCGCGCUAAGGUACAAUAGAGUGCGGAGACUUACGAUCUCACUAGGGGCUUCGACCUGGGCAGCCACUCUUCAUCAGUGUGAGCGGCCGAGGUGGAGUAGUCCGAAAGGGACGCCUUUCCCUUCUUGGACGUUCUAGCCUCCCCCUCCGGGGCGGCUUUCCUCUUCUUCUCCUCCCCAGUGCGGGGAGGCAGAACUUCUUCAUGUUUCCCCCCGCCUCCGUGGGAGGAAUCUGCCUCGUCGUCUUCGAACGACGUGGGUAUGACGGCCUUGCGUCGGGGGCCUUUCCCGGCCCCCUGGUCCGCCUUCCUAGGUCCCCCAUCCUCUCCGGAUGGGGUGACCUCUUCCUCUUCUUCCUCCCCUUCGGGGGAGGAGUGUGCCUCGUCGUCCUCGGACGAGGCGUCCGGUACGACCUUACGCCAGAGACCCCUUCUGGCCCCUGGGGCCUUCUUUUCCAGUGCCUUGUAGGGCGUCGGGACUAGCAUCUCCGUCAGGAGAGCAUCGGCCGGACCUUCUGGCAACGGAGUCAGACAGUCAAUCCGCUCCGCUGUCUCCACAUAAUCCUGAUCAAAUAUACACAAUUACUUAAGACUCCCCCAUGAAUAUAUUGGGAAGAACUAAAUCCAGUGGUAGUCAGAAAACUCACCGGAUGAGGAGGCCGCGCGGCAUGAAGUCCACGGUCCUCAGAUGUGGGAGGAGGUACUUCGGAGGCCUUGAACAACGCCUUGCAUGCGUCUUUGUGCGUCAUGCCGUAGAGCUUCCGAAGCGUCUGGUGUUCGGCCGGGACGAACUCCCACAGAUUGAAUGCCCGUCUUUGGCACGGAAGGAUCCGGCGGACAAGCAUGACCUGGACCACGUUGACAAGCUUGAUGUUCUUGUCCUUCAUAUUUUUGAUGCAGUUUUGGAGUCCGGUCAGCGCUGCAGGUUCGCCCCAGGUCAGGCCCUUCCUUUCCCAGGAGGUAAGCCGCGUGGGGGUUCUAGAUCAGAAUUCGGGGGCCGCCGCCCAGUUGGCGUCGCGUGGCUCGGUGAUGUAGAACCAACCCGAUUGCCACCCUUUCACGGUCUCCGGGAAGGAGCCGCUAAGCCAGGUGACGUUAGGCAUCUUGCCCACCAUGGCCCCUCCGCACUCCGCUUGCUGGCCGCUCAUGAUCUUUGGCUUCACGCAGAAGAUUUGUAUCUAUAAGCCAAAAUGAGGCUUGAUGUAGAGGAAGGCCUCGCACACGACGAUAAAUGCCGAGAUGUUGAGGACGAAAUUUGGGGCUAGAUUUUGGAAAUCUAGCCCGUAGUAGAACAUGAGCCCAUGGACGAAGGGAUGAAGUGGAAUUCCCAGUCCACGGACAAAGUGGGCGACAAACACGACCCUCUCGUGAGGUUCCGGAGUUGGAAUGGUCUGCCCGGCGUCCGGUAGCCGGUGCGCGACGUCUGCAGCCAAGUAUCCGGCCGCCCGAAGAUUCGCGAUAUGCUUCUCCUUCACGGCGGAAGCCACCCACCUGCCUCAUGCUCAGGACAUGUUUAGCUGUGCGGAGAAGACUUGGGCUAGGGCGCUAGAGCUCGAGAAGGUAAGGGUAAGCAAAGGAGGAAGAAGGCAUCGGUAAAAAUGGGGAACCCUUAUCCCUUUAUAGAGGCAACGGAAGCGGUGCGCCUUCCCACUUGCCCGUUGAGAAUCGCUUAUUUCCCAAGCGCCACGAUUGAUGGCGCGGUGGGAUUACCCAUACCCGUAUUGAUGAGAAUCCCGUGAUAAGGGGACACGAUCUCUGCUUUGACAAGACGUGUCAAGGAAACCGCCUCGCAAUAUAUGCUGUGGCUGGUUGUGGGAAAAAGGUUCGAAUAAUGACCCGACCAUAAUGACAUGUCACGUUGUCUAAAAAAAGUUGCCAGCAGAUUGCAUUUGUGAAAUAUCAUUCUCUCUACGGUGGUAUGUGAAGAUCAUUUUGCGGAUCCGGACACGAUUUAAGUGUUCGAUAAUUACUUUGGAGUAUUCGGAGAUGGAACCCGCCUUGCAAUGCCGAAGACAAGACUGCGGGCCGGACUCAUCAUCAUUGAAGCCUGGUUCAGGGGCAACUGAGGGAGUCCUAGAUUAGGGGGUAUCCGGACAGCCGGACUAUAUACUUCGUCCGGACUAUUGGAGCGUGAAGAUACAAGACUCAAGACUCCGUCCCGUGUCCGGAUGGGACUCUCCUUUGCGUGGAAGACAAGCUUGGCGAUCCGAAUAAUAUAUUUCCUUCCUUGUAACCGACUCCAUGUAAACCCUAGCCCUCUCCGGUGUCUAUUUAAACCGGAGAGGUUGGUCCUUAGAAGGACGAUCACGAUCAUAAUCAUAAUCAUCAUAGGCUAGCUUCUAGGGUUUAGCCUCUACGAUCUCGUGGUAGAUCUACUCUUGCACUACUCAUAUCAUCAAUAUUAAUCAAGCAGGAAGUAGGGUUUUACCUCCAUCAAGAGGGCCCGAACCUAGGUAACAAUUGUGGCCCUUGCUUUCUGUUACCAUCAGCCUAAGACGCACAGAUCGGGACCCCCUACCCGAGAUCCGCCGGUUUUGACACCGACAGCAUGUCUAAACUAAGCAAAUGACAUAGCAAUGGAAGAUACCAUACGCGCGAUAUGAGCAACAUAACCCUGCCAAGUUAGAGCAUGCACCUCGGGGGGGGGGGAUAUGACUAGUCAUCUAUCUCUGAAUCCUCCUCUGAGGAGCUAUCAGUAACCAGCAAGACAUGCGCUUCGUCAGAUAGCAUUGUCUCCUCCGAAGACCUUGUUUCCACUCCAGAUUUUUCCAUGACCGUGCCGAAUGGCUGAUGCACAGGAAGAGUAAUUGAAUGUACUAAAUUUUUAACAAAUUUAACACGUAAUAAAAAAAUGAUGGCAUGAUAUAAUUCACAUAUAAUAUGACUGGCUAACCAGGGUGGCAUUCCAGAAUUCACAUAUAUGAUGCCUGGCUAAACAAGAUGGCAUUGCAUGAUUCACAUAUACGAUAAAGAAACUAAACAGAUGGCAUCGACACAAAGCAUGUCUAAACUAAGCAGAUGACAUCUUUAAUGUAUACAGUAAGCAAUGCAAGGCACCAUAUGCAUGAUAUUACCAACAUCAGCAUGCCAAGUUAGAGCGAAGACCUCACGGGUAAAUAGGAGUGGUCUUCUCCUUCUGAAUCCCCCUCAGAACAGUUAUCUUCCUCUUGAUUACAAUCCAAAAUGGGUGGAGGGGGUUGCCUUUGCGCCCACCAUGGAACGACGUCUGCAUGAAACUUUAUUGCCACGCAAGGCUCGUCUCUUUUGCUCUACAUGACCAGUUCCAUUCUGUACAAUAACUGGCAUGCAUAGGAAUAACACAUAGUGAGAUUAUGUAAGGAGUGCAUGCACAAAUCCAGAGUGAUGGUAGCAAAGAGUGGAUAGACCCAAAACCAAUGAUAGCAGGCAGAUAAUAGCUUUAGUUAAAAAAUACAGAUAAUGGAUCCUUUAAUGUUUGUUUGCACCCAACAUGAAACUCAUAGUAGACACCGGAGAUUAACCAGAUAGUAGACAGAUAGUACUGAUUGUUGCCCCAAUAUGUACCUCACAACCAUUUAAAAACUCAAGUUUCAGCAUUAAUUUGGACCUGACUCGGAGUCUAAUAGGUGAACACAACGAUAAUGUAGCAUGUCAUCAUAUUAAGCGACGCAUAACAUAAGUAGACACGAAAGAGUGUGACCUCUCUUGCGGACCCGUGUAGUCCUCAAGGUCAUCUGCUCAGUUGAUGAUGGUAAUGCACUUGUCGUGGCUGCCGGCGGCGGGGAAGAAGAUCUGAGGCGGCGAAACACAGUCUGGAGAGCAGAUCCCUACUGUGAUGAACCCUUCCGUCGUUGGAGCAGCUGAGCUGGGGUGGAACACAGCGCCGCAGGAGCAGGACAAACCACACAAGGUUUUCUUUGACACAUAUUUGUAACAGAAGUAAUUGAGUAAGGGCUUGUUUGAAUUUGAGGAUUCUAACAAUGCAGGGACAGGAAAUAGACAGGAAUAGGAUAAGAAUGCACGUGCAAAACAGAGAAUUUAAAAACAUAGGAUUUCUACCAAUCUGGGUGUUUGAUUCACAACAAUUGGAAGAUCACAGGAUGCAAAAAAGCAUGGUGAGAUUAAGUCAAACCACAAGAAAAUGUACGGUUAUAAUGCUAUUAUGCUGCUAUCUCUUAGUCUUGUGCUUGAUGAAUAGGAAUGCGAAAAGGAGGACAAGUGGAAAUUAGAAUUCCUACGGUUUUUCUUUCAAGGCGACACUAAAGGAACAAAUCCUACAGUUUUCCUUUGCUCCAUUCCUUUGCACCAAAUUCAUGAAAAGUAGUACCAUAGGAAACUUUCCAAUUCCUAUGUUUUUCAUUCACUUUUCCUUUCAAGCACUGACGAUUCUAGUAGGCAGGCUUGAGCAAGGAAAAUCCUACACUAAAAAAUGUUUUUGUGCUACUUCUAUUACUUUGGACCCACGCCACUGCCAUACUAGCUCAACUCCCAGGCCCAUCGACAAAUGCACAACUCAAACGCGCAGAGAUAAAUAAUGAUGGCAUUCAAGAGAGUCCAUCACGGAUAGCUAAGUUGCCUGGUACCUCACUGCUUGUCAUAUAGUAGGAUAAAAUAAUCGUAUUUCCCAUUACUAUGAGUGCUCAGUGGACAAUAUAUAUAACAUGUAGAGUAAAAAAGAGAUGCAACAAGUGCACAACCUCUUUGGCGAAGCCAUGUUGAUCUCAGCGUGAUUGGGUUGGCCGGUGAGGAUGCUCCGGCUGACUUGGCUGUCGGAGGAGGGGAAGAAGAUCUUAGGCGUCUGGAGAUGGAGCCCGAGGUACUGCUACACUGUGAUGGAGGGUUUCGUCGUUGGAGCAGCUCCGGUGAGUUGUACGAUGCCGAGGCUGAAGCAGGACAAGAGAGACAAGGUUAACCGGAGUGGAAUUCUAAUAUCAUCUCCAAUACAUGACGUAAAAUACAUAACCACAAAGUGCUAGAUGUAAAAUACAUCAGCCGCUCAUCUCUGAACUUAACUGUCGAAACUGAAUUUAACUGUCGAAACUAAACUUAACUGUCGAAACUGAACUUAACUGUCGAAACUGAAUUUUGCUGUCGAAACUGAAUUUUGCUGUCGAAACUGAACGCACUAGCAAGGUGAGGCUACGCGUCGGUCGACUGACUUUUUCAUCUCUGGUCAGUCGAUUUUGCAGCCGUUGGAUAUGAAAUCAAGGGCCUGUGGUUCAUCUUCAACCUCCACCCCCCUGAGCCGCCAGCCACCACCGGCCAAACNNNNNNNNNNNNNNNNNNNNNNNNNNNNNNNNNNNNNNNNNNNNNNNNNNNNNNNNNNNNNNNNNNNNNNNNNNNNNNNNNNNNNNNNNNNNNNNNNNNNNNNNNNNNNNNNNNNNNNNNNNNNNNNNNNNNNNNNNNNNNNNNNNNNNNNNNNNNNNNNNNNNNNNNNNNNNNNNNNNNNNNNNNNNNNNNNNNNNNNNNNNNNNNNNNNNNNNNNNNNNNNNNNNNNNNNNNNNNNNNNNNNNNNNNNNNNNNNNNNNNNNNNNNNNNNNNNNNNNNNNNNNNNNNNNNNNNNNNNNNNNNNNNNNNNNNNNNNNNNNNNNNNNNNNNNNNNNNNNNNNNNNNNNNNNNNNNNNNNNNNNNNNNNNNNNNNNNNNNNNNNCACCGCCGGCGACCACCGCCCCCAACCUGAACCCUAAGAUAGAUAGUGGGGUACCUCUCUGACGAGCCCCCUCCCCGCUGUGGCUGGUUCUUCCUUCACCCUGGCGAGCCCCCCACCCCCUAAAAAUCGACUAACCCAAAAGUCGAUUCAGUCGACUGAAGUGUAGCUAAAUCAGAGCAGCAUCGCAAGCAAGAGCAAGAGCAAGAGCAGCAGCACGAGCAAGAGCAAUAGCAAGAGUAGACCAGGCAGGGGAUCGAGAGCAAGAGCAGAGCAGCAGUGUGAGCGAGAGCUAAAGCAGUAGUACCUCCUAUUGAUGUGGUCGUCGUCGCCGAGGGAGCGACGCCAUUGAGGAAGUGGCCGGUGACACCGUCGUGGAUGGAGCCACGCCGUGUCGGCUCGGGACCGAGCGCCGACAGCACCAUGAGAUCGAAUCAAGAAGAAAAUGCGGCGAUUAGUGUACAGCCUCUUUGGUGGCGCCGAUUAGGCCGUAGCUUCAUCCGAGGAAACGGUGAUGAUGAUGCUCUUCUAGUGGUGCAGGUGAAGACGGCGCUGUGGGAAUGGAGGUGGCGCAAAAGACGAGGGGAACGUCGGGGCAGCUCCUUGGAGGUGGAGGAUGGGGUGGCUGAACCAGCGGGACGACGAGAUCGACGACAGAUCCUCAUCCGGUACGGUGGAUGAGGGACAUCAAGGUGUUGUUGUGGACGACGUCGUCGGGGAAGAGGCUUCGGUUGGGUGGCGGACGAAGCAGGGUGUGGGGCUUCGUCACGGGUUUUCGCGGCCUCGGUGUACGAAUGGGUGGGCGGAUGGGAUGGCAGUGGGGAACCAUGGCUUAGGGACGCGCUUGUCCAAAAUGUGGGGUAAGUUAUGAAAGUACCCCCACCGAUUUGAGGCGGUUCUUUCGCUUCAGGGGUACCACGGGCAUUUUGCGUGUCGGGAUUUCACAGGAGGUUGGAGUUUUCGCGCGCGUUGUAAUUUCGGAAUAGCAAGGCGUGGGUUGAGAUGGAGGGAGUUUUCGGAGCACAAUGAGACAAAGAUAUAUCUUAAAUAUUUCGGUCUAACAAGGCGCGGGCUGAAGAGGCGUGAGUUUCGCAGCACGACAAAGACGCUAGCUUGAAUUUUCGGCAUAACAAGGCGCGAUUUGAAAUUUCAGAAGAACAAGCUUAACGUGUACCCAAAAAAAGACAAUUUGCACCUCAACACGCACAACACACACACAAACACCAUUUAGACUAGAGUAAGGUACACGUGCAUUGCACGCAUGAGAUUUGGCAACCAAAUUAUGAAUAAAUACCACAUUAUAGCAUGUAAUCUUUGAGUUAUAUAUGCAUGAUGUAGAUGUUCAUUUAAUUCUUAUAGUUCAUUUCAUUCAAAAUCAUCUAGUUUUUAUAAGAAAGCUAAUCUAUUUUAAGAUUCAUGGAAUUGUGCAUUGUAAUAAAUAAAGUAAAAACAAAUAAUGGCAAAUCAUGUAGAAAAACAUUUGGGCAAUUCUGAUACGGAAGAUUCUAGAACAAAGAAGAAGUGCUUGUGUUUUGAUGUUUGUGCAUUAUGCUUAAGUUCAACCAUGGAGUCUUCUAGAUUAUACAUGUGGCAAAAUCUGGUGGAAUCUAGAUGAUAUCUAAUGGCCAGUAGUGCUCAAAUUUGCCAUCUUUGGACCAUCGGAUUCACCUCAUCCAACGACCAUCUUUCAAAGUUAAAGUUACCCGCACACAAUAUAAAAAAUAUAAAAUAUAAUAUAUAUAUAUAUAUAUAUAUAUAUAUAUAUAGGGUGGGUCUAUUAUGAUAACACCCUUUAAGACCUUAUUCUACACACCAAAACACUUAUUCUGCUAACACUUGCCAACGCGCACCACAUAGCCAACCUGUCGCAACCAAAUUAAAAGAACAAAUCCACCCUCCCCAUGACCUCACGUUCUCCUCCACACAAACCCAUCCCUAAUUCCAACCACCCCACCUUCUUCCCCCGUGGCUGGCAAGGCCACGCGCCGCCGCCGCCGAACAGCCAACCCACGUUCUUCCUCUCCUGAAUCCACCCCGCGCCACCGCCGGCUUCCUCCCUCGCCGCCCAGACCAACCCCCACCGAGCUCUGCCGUCCCAGCCAGCAGCUGAGGCCCUCCCUUCUCCCUUCUUCCCCACCGAGCCCACCCGUACAGACCGAAACCAACCUUCCUCCCCGGCCACCUUCUACCUCCGCCGUCGCACUGGCCCGCGCAGCCCCACCAUCAUCCCCUGGUGCAGCCCCGCGCCGCCCCGGUCACGCGCCGUCCCACCCCGUACCAGCUGCGCGCAGCCCGACCUCGCCCCGGUCACGCGUCGCCCCACCUCGUACCAGUUGCGCCCUGCCCGACCUCGCCCCUGCGCGUGUCGCCCUACCCCGCCCCGGCCGCGCGCCCCACCCCUGACCCACCGCUUCCGGCCGGAGCGCCUCCCUGGUGUCUGAUCCAUAGGAUCCCGCAACGCCACCAGCGAUGGGAUCCGGCAGCAGACGACCGAUCCAGGCAUGCCGCUGACCGCCGCGAGCUCGCCUUCCUCCUUCGACCCUGGGCCAGAUCCAUGGCCAACCGCCCGUCGCCCUUCCCCCAACCAGUCCCCACCUCCAGCGCGACCACACCAUCCCCUUGCAGCUCGAGCCGUGCCGUGCCGUCCAUCUGGAUCCCUGGAGCAGUGCAACGCGAGCCUUGGAGAAGUGCACCGCGAACCCUCGAGCAGCUCAUCAAUGGGCAUCGGCAAAUUUUUUGGCUUCUGGAGUUCGGUGGCCCCGUGCAGCUCAGGCGCAAUCAUGAUGCGGUUUGAUGCUAGUGCACUUGCUAUCUUUUUUGCGUGCAGCUGCAGUCCAUUUCAUCUUCGCUGCAGUGAAGUUUUGGAGAGCCGUGACGGGAGAAGUUCCAGUGGCAUCUCAAUUUACUGCUCUUUUUUCACUACUGGGAUCUGUUGUGGUUCUCUUCUUCCCAACACAGAAGAUGCGGUGUGGCUACGGCACGGGUGAAGUUCAGGACAUUUUUGUUGGUUUUUCAUAUUUCAUGGGUCGUGUAUCGGCGAGCUCUCCCCCAAUGCAUGGUGUAGUUCGCCGGUCCACAUCGUGCGGUUCACCGGCCAUGUGACUGCAAUGUAGUCGACCCCUCUUGUGUGGCGUGCAACUCGGAGCAAGCGGCAUGCAGUUUAAUCUGUUGUUUGUGGUUUUUUGUGCCUAUCAAAUGUAUUUGGUUGGGAUAUGAUGUAUUUUGUGUAAAAAAUAUUUUUUUGAGAAGUAAAUUUCAACAAGCAUUAAUGGGUCAUUCUUCAAGAGAAACAUCAAUGGAUCCAGCCCACUUUAAGGAGUCUUGUGGUUCAUUGCAUUUAAUAAGGAAGAAACAAAGUGUUGUUCACUUGUUUCAUGGUAAAAAGGAAAUGAUGUAGCCCACUGUGUCUUUAUCAAAUAGAUGUGGCUUUGAAGCUCACUUUGUUGUCUCAUGCAGUUUUUUAUAAAACUUCUUCGCGGUUCACUUGUCCUACUUGUAAAAGGGAAAAAUAUCUCAAAGAAUCUCGCUUCUAUAUUAGAUGUAGUUCACUCGUUAGGUCCCUGUGGUCCACUCGCUUGGUCAAUGCACGUAAAAGAUUAAUAAGUAUGAAAAAAGACAACAAAAAGGAAAAAAUAUCUCAAAGAAGCUCGCUUCUAUAUUAGAUGUAGUUCACUCGUUCGGUCUCUCUGGUCCACUCGCUUGGUCAAUGCACGUAAAAGAUUAAUAAGUAUGAAAAAAGACAACAAAAACUCAUGAGGUUCACUUUUGGUAGUGUUGCGGUUCAUUUUCGGAAGUGUUGUGGUCCACUCUCAUUCGAAAAAAAAGUUGAAAAAAAGACAACAAAAACUUGUGCGAGAAAGUUUAUGUCUGACAAAAAGAAAUCAUGAAGUUCACUUGACUGUCUGUUGCACUGCGGUUUCCGUUUGAAGCAGUGCGUUCUUCUGUCUGAUGAAGUACACACGUCGAUUUUGGUCUUGCGAAAAACAGUGUCCGCUUUUCGGUAAAAUCAAAACCGCUCUUAAACCGUAAGGAAUUAGAGAGAGUGUUCUACAUGAAAAAGUUGCGUCUCGUCGAUAUCUUUCCAACGGCGUAUGAUUUGAAUCAUUUUGACCAGCGGUUUGUAAAAAUUUCACGAAAAACGGCCGCUGUCUCUCGUCGCCAGCCGCACGAUUUUCAACAUAAACUAAAAACCGUAAGGAAUCUCAAAAACAUUUCAACAUAUGAAAGUUGAGCCUCGACCAUAGCCUUUCAACGGUAUAUUACGCGCCUCAUUUAGACAAACGGUUAGAAAACUGGAGCGAAAACAGUACCGAAAAUUUGAAUUUUUUUGAAAAACAGAAUUUCACGAUUUAGUAAAUUUGAAACUGCUCUUAAACCGUAACGAAUUAGAGAAAAUGAUAGAUAUGAAAAAUAUGCGCCUCGACGAUAUCUAUCCAACGGCGUAUUGUUUGCUUCAUUCCGACAAGUGGUUUAGAAGAAAUCACGAAAAACCGCUCGCCGCCACUCGUCAUGGGCCGCACCAUUUUCAAAACUGCUCUAAACCGUGUGGAAUCUCGGAAAGUGUUCAACAUAUCGAAGUUGCGCCUAAUCCAUAAAUUUUUAAUGGUAUAUUACAUGCCUUGUUCCGAUAAACGGUUAAAAUAUUAGAGUGAAAACAGUACCAAAAAAAUAACGCGUGCAAUAUUUUUUCGACGAGAAGUUCACUUGUGUGAGUACUGCAGCACACUUGGUUCAAAGAAUGACGUGCACUUGCGUUCAGCGUGCAGUACGGAAGUGGUGAGCAGAAUAGUUAUUCUGCUAAUAUUAGCAGGAUAGACCGUUUGUAUAUNNNNNNNNNNNNNNNNNNNNNNNNNNNNNNNNNNNNNNNNNNNNNNNNNNNNNNNNNNNNNNNNNNNNNNNNNNNNNNNNNNNNNNNNNNNNNNNNNNNNNNNNNNNNNNNNNNNNNNNNNNNNNNNNNNNNNNNNNNNNNNNNNNNNNNNNNNNNNNNNNNNNNNNNNNNNNNNNNNNNNNNNNNNNNNNNNNNNNNNNNNNNNNNNNNNNNNNNNNNNNNNNNNNNNNNNNNNNNNNNNNNNNNNNNNNNNNNNNNNNNNNNNNNNNNNNNNNNNNNNNNNNNNNNNNNNNNNNNNNNNNNNNNNNNNNNNNNNNNNNNNNNNNNNNNNNNNNNNNNNNNNNNNNNNNNNNNNNNNNNNNNNNNNNNNNNNNNNNNNNNNNNNNNNNNNNNNNNNNNNNNNNNNNNNNNNNNNNNNNNNNNNNNNNNNNNNNNNNNNNNNNNNNNNNNNNNNNNNNNNNNNNNNNNNNNNNNNNNNNNNNNNNNNNNNNNNNNNNNNNNNNNNNNNNNNNNNNNNNNNNNNNNNNNNNNNNNNNNNNNNNNNNNNNNNNNNNNNNNNNNNNNNNNNNNNNNNNNNNNNCCACCCACCACUGUCGCGCCACCGGGUCGGCGCGACCAGUACCGUCGUUGAUCCCAACCAUGGCGCCCGCCAUCGCGCACCACCUCCCGACCAUGGCGCCCGCCGCCGUGCACCACCUCCCUGCCAUGGCGCCCGCCGCCGUGCACCACCUCCCUGCCAUGGCGCCCGCCGCCGCGCACCACCCCCCGGCCAUGCGCCCGCCGUAGCGCACCUCCCGGACAUGCGCCCCAUCGCCGCGCUCCUGCAACCAAAUCUCUGUGAUGCGCCUGACCUUCUUCCUCCUCCUACCACCUCCUGUCGCAUCGUACCACGUCAAGCACACCCCAGCCUCCUCCUCCUCUUCCUUGCUCCCAGCGAGGCACGGCGCACCCGGCCAUCAUCCUCCUACCCAGCAUCCCAAUGUGAUAGUGCAGAAAACUGUAGCUCGGCAGUCCACCCUCAUGCUCCGCCAUGGGUCUAUCAGAUAGCCAGAUGCAGGGCACCUCUCUCUCUCUCAAGUGAUUUGUCGUAUGGUCUAAUUUCGUAUCUUUUAUUUUGUUCUUUCUUGAAGCUUGGAUGAGAAGAACCUCAGAAAAUUGCAGUAUGUUCCAUCGUAUGCACUUUGUUCAUAUUCCUGUGUGAACUGAUCAGUGAUCAUCGCGCUCGACCGUCUCCCUCCUGCCCCAUCCGUCCAGGUUUGGACUCACACCAGUUCAAGUAGUGAUGUUGCAACAAGUACAGCUCCUCCCCAGUCAAGCUUAGCGAGCCAAAAAAAGCAUCUUGAUGGAUGAUUGCUAGCUCGCUUCAUCAUCGGCUGAUUUUCCCAUCUACUUGCUUGUGGUUAAUUCCUUCGAUCCUUCUGUUAUAUCUUUAUUUGGAGAUUUAUAUUUCAAGUCAUUGCCGCUUUUACCCCUAGCUAUUAGAGAUGCACAACAAGUCGCUGGGAUUCCCUGGAGCUGCCAAAUCCCGGCGCUGCUCAUGAUCUCCGCCAGAGGAGGAGGUGUAGCCGGUCCACCCGAUCUCCGACGUCUUAUUCCACCUCCAAAAAAUUUCUUUUUGAAUUCUAUUCUUCGUCACAGGUUCACUACUAUUACCACAGUGCAAAAAGUGCCAAAAAGUUCAGUUCAGACUAUACUAAAUGUCCAUAUUGUAGAUAAAUUUGCGUUGUCUUAAAUUUCUGGAAGCAAGCUUCGGUACAAGAAAAAUGGAUCAGUCAGUUCAUCCAUAUGCAAACCCCCGUGACAAAACAUAUCUCUAUUCUAAUUAGGUAAGGAUGUGCCACGGGAGAAAAUGGAGUAAAAUUGUCUCUGAAGUUUUGAUUGCAUCUCCAUCUCCCGAUGGGGCUCUGCCGCCGGAGCACCCUGGCCGUUCACAGCCACCACUCCAGGCCGUUCAACGCCACCACCCCAGGACGUUCAUUGCCAGCAGCACCCUGGAUCCCACCCCUCACCCUAGGAGUUUCAGUUAUUGAGUGGGUUUCAUUCCAACAUGAGCUUUCAGUCCAACUUGAGCUCUACUUGAGAUGAUCAUAUAAUUAACUUCAAUGGUCCAUGUAUUUUACAACAAGUCCAUGUAGUACUACAUGAGAAGUACAAAAAUUACUGCUAGUGGGAGUUCAUUUAAAUCCUGGUCAGUUCAUCUCCUCAAAACAUAUUUACUUCGGCUCUGCUCUCAUCUUUCUCCUGCACUGUUGAUGUUGCAUCCUCUCUCUCAUGAUGUGAUGAUGUUGUUGCUCUCUCGUAGCUAAAACAUGGUCACGAAAACAUCCUAUAGCUGACCACUGCGUUUGAUUUUGUUUUGCUCUACCAUGCCAUGCUUCCUACAAAACCAUAUGGUUUGAGUUACCACACAUGCUCCUAGUUUUUGUUGUGUGGUUUAUGAAUCUCGUAGUUUAUACAUUGUUAAAUUUACUGGCUUGUUAGUAAAUUCAUUGCUGAAUUUGAUAGUAGAAUUCCAUAUUGUAGUGCCAACAUACUUAGUAUAAUUAUUUGUGCUUAAAGUUCAGAAAUUAUUUCUGGUGACUAGAUUCCAUGGGCUGGCAUUCAUAGGCUACGAUGUAUUUUUUGUUAGAGAAUAUGCCUUUCAGAAACAAAAUUUGCUAUGUACUUGCAUGUAGUGAUAUAAAAAUGAUGCAAAAUAUGUAUAACAAAAAGUUCUAACCCGGUCUCAGAAAUCCUCCUUGCACCAUGUACAACAAAAGUUCAAACCCGUUCUCAACAAAAGUGCAAACCACAAUCUGUAAUUCUGAAACUACAUGUUGUCCUGGUCCUUGAGCAUCUUGCAGGCCGACAAAAAAUAGUGCACUAUCAUUAUGAUAUUACUUUGAUAAUUAUAACAUGGAUGCAGUAACAAAUUAGAUGAAAGUAACUAAGGACACAAAGUGUGCAGCAGCCGAAACUGAACCUUGUUUUAUUGUUACUUAAAUGCAUUUGUUCUCUGAACUUAAAAAAAAAUAUUCUUGCACUGCGUGCAGGUAGCCAUCGAGGAUGUCACCCCACUCCUCUGGCUUCACCCGUUGUAGACAUAGAAGUUGCAAGAUUUUGGUGAUUCUGUACCUACUGUUGAAGAAAUCAAUGGUAAAAAAUUCUGAUUGCAGAAAUGCCAUGCUCCCAGCACGCCGAGACCGAAUCAUUCGACACCACUUGUCUGCACAUCGUGGCUUGACGUGCAGCCCGACGGCUUCGUACACACAAGACACUAUGGUGUACAAUUUAAUGCAUGAAGUAAGCCCAACAAUAAUAACUUCUACAUGUAUCUUGUUAAGGUAGUACUAACCAGACCAAGCUACUUCAUUUUUUGUAUCACAUUCUAGAACUUCUACAUAUCCGUACUGCUGCUGCUCCGCACUAAACUUCUAAUACUGUUUGUAAUCCAGCUUCUAGUUUUUUCUCUAUUAUGUGCUUCACUUCUACAAAAAAAUUGGGUUAUAUAAAUAGGAUAAAGAUGUUUGCUUGCUUUCCAGAAAUGAAAUGGUUGGACAUGUAUCGACAAUGUAAAUAAAGCUCUUGUCGUGUAUUGUUUGAAAAUAAAAUCACACAAGUACAUGGUCAAAGUUUGUAUGAGUUUGAAUAAAAAAGAAACAAAGUUCAAAAAGAAAAAUUGUGAGUUCACCUUCCAUAAAGUUUGUAUGUACAGAGAUAUCACCUUGAUGUAGUAUGUAACUAUGUAUUGCAAAUUUGCAAUUGAGGAAUGGGUGUGUCUUGUAGUAUCUGCCUUACAGAGUCAAUAUGUGUUUUUCUAGUGCUAGUAGUUGUGGUCAUUUUUUCAUGAUAGAUUUGUGUCUUUGCAGUGUCGGUACUUAAAAGAAAAAAGUUCUAUUUUGAAAAACUAUAACAAUUCAAGUGCAUAAAAAACAGAAGUCCAUUCUGCAAAAACAAUAGUAGACGCAAAAAGGUUCAGUUUUGAGAAAAUUAUCCCUCGGCUAAGUCCGAAGGUGUUGUCCCGUGAAGCUCAGCUAUUCAGUUCAUGUCCAGGUCACCGUGUUUCAAAAACAUCGAUAUGAACUCUAGCAGUCAGGCUCAUCCAAUUUGCAGGCGGGAGGUCACCACGUUCCACCGUGUCCAGUUCUAAUCCGGCACUAUAAGUAUACUAUACUCUGCACAUAUCAUAGUUGUACUGCUGACUGAUGUAGUCAGCAGCAAUAUUGGUUGGAAACGUAAAUUCAAUUCAAUUUUAGAUUUUGAAUUAGCCUUGAGAGUAUACAUAUGCACCUCAAGUUCAUAUUUUGUUCUCUUGUCUUGGUUCCAUAUCUCUUUAUAACCUAAACUUUGCUGGUCACAUGUACUUCUGAAUGACAAAGAAUAAGUAAAUUCACCACUGAAGAGCUCCUCCGUCCAGAUCGCAUAGCCCCUCCACCCCCUACCAAAUGUGCAUGUUAUAUAUUCGGUGAAAUGCCUCAGUGCAAGUCUGGAUAACCAAGAAGUUCUACUACUCGUGUACGCCUAAGUUCAAGACAUUGCUGCAGACAAACAAUGAAGAGAUUCUCCAUCCAUGGCUCUGCAGAACUAUGUGUCGUUGUUUCCUCAAGUUUAACUGCCCUCUCGUUAUAGCUAGCAUCAAGCACGUCUUCAUGUUGUGCAAGAAGUGAGAUAAACCACAAAGAUUGCCACUGAUCAGUAGUGAUUGUGUCCCCACUUCUCUCUGUUAUGCUUUUUGUGAGUUAUUUUUGUAUUGCCUACAUUUCUAUCUAUGAAUGGCAUCCAUGUGACCCUUAUCAUUCGACACUUGUCUGCACUUUAUUUUUCUGAUGAUUAUUAUUGUUGUCAUGUGAGUGUGCUUGAACAUUUGUUGUGCAGGAGAAUAGGCCUAUGAUUUUUGUGUUGCGGUGGGUGAUAUGGAUAAUAUGAAAAUGUGUAGUCGGUGUGGUGUAUAUGUCAUUCAUCUAUGAAAAUGUGCAGCAGGUGUGGUGUACAUGUCAUUCAUGUAAUAUAUGUCUGGAAAAUUUUCUGUCUAUGAUAUGGUUUGCUACUUCUUUAAAGAAAGGUAUACAUGCCCGUUUGAUGUGCGUCCAAGAAUGAAAGAAGUGGUUUACAUAAAAAUCAAUUAAUCGGUAUGUAUUAAAAACAAUGAUCAAUUCAAACUAAUAAUAAAAUGGUCAGUUUGAAUUUAAAAUUUAGUUCGAAUUAAAUACUAUGAUUAAUUGGAUUUAAAAAAACGGAUGAUCAGUUCAAAUUAAAAAGAAUAAUCAGUUUGGAUUAAGAAACUUGGGUGAAUGUCCUACUAUUUGCUAGCUUUGGCAUUGUAAAAAACUAAAAUAUUUAUAAUUAAAAAAGUUGUAAGUUCAACAUGACAUCCCAGAUGAGGUUGGGAAAAAAUCUCAAACAAAAAGAUACCGUGAACCGUUGAAAAUAAAAGUUGAAUAGAAAAGUUAGGAGGAAAACCAUACAGAAAAAACGGAGUAAAGUCUAGUAUGUUAAAACAUGCUCAAUACAAAUUCAUACUGACAUCCGUUCAAGUACUUUUUUUUGAACCUUUCAAAGUUACUCUAUGAAAAAUACAUCAGUACAAGUACUCUGUUUUUUCUGACAGGAAAACAACACAACGUGUCUCAUACUAAGUACUAAUACAUCGUCAUACUAAGUACUUACGCGGUCGGGGUCGAGGACAUCCUGCUCAACAGUACAACUUAACUUCUUGUUUUGUGGCCGGUCGCUCAAGGAGCUGUGCUCAACAGUACAACUUCUUGUUUUGUGGCCGGUCGCUAAGGAGCUGAGUUCAAAAUGAGAGAAGUCCAGAAUAUCGUCACAAAACACGCUCAGGAUGUGAAAACACGCUCAAUACAAAACCAUACAUACAUCCGUUCAAGUACUCUUUUUCUCGAACAUACAUUCGUCCGUUCUAGAAAGAAAAAUGGUUGAAUUAAAAAUAUUGAUCAGUACAAGUUAAAAAUGGUGGUUCGUUCGGAAUAAAAGAAAUGACAGAAAUUCAACUUGUAAAAGUUCAAGCAAAAAGAAACCCCAUGCAAUUCAAAUGAGAAAAGUACAAGUCGUAAAAUAAGAGAAGUUCAAAACAUCAUUGUAAAAAAAAUUAGUUCAAUAAAGAAUAAAAAAACAUUUUUUUUUGAAAAAAUUUAUCAUUCAGUUCGAUGAUAUAAACCAUGCAAGUACAGGGGCGCCGAUACAAUAAACCAUUGAAAACUGAUGAGCAAAAUAGAGCAAAGUCUAGUUAGUGAAAACACGCUUAGUACAAACCCAUGCAAGCAUCAGUACAAGUACCCUUUUUCGGAACCAUUCAAAAUUAGUCUACAAAAAGUAGCUCAGUACAAACGUACACAUAUAUCAGUACGACUAUUCUGUUUUUCAGACGAGAAAUUAGCAGGAUCUGUCAUGCCGUAUUCAAAAUUACUUUUAAACGGUUGCGAAGUAGAGAAAACGUUCAACAUGACUAAGUUUCGCAUUUUCGAUAGCUAUCCAACGCUAUAUUAUUUGCCAUAUUUCAACAAAUGUUUUUGAAAAAUCGCGUUAAAAAUCAAAUUUGACCAUAUUCGAAUUCGUUUUUAAACCAUAAGGAAUUAGAAAAAUAUUUAUAUACAAAAAAGUUGCGCAUUUUCAAUCCGACAAACCGUUUGCAAAAAAUCGCGAAAAUACGUUUCGCCCAGAAUUUCACCGUUUUUCAAAAUAAUUUUAAAUCAUAUAGAAUUAGAAAAAACAAUACAUAUAUGGAAGAUGCGGAUUUUCAACAGCUUUCCAACGCCAUCUUAUUUGCUCAAUUCUGGCAAACCGUUUGAAAAUGGAGUCCAAAAUACGAUUCAUGUUUUCAGUUUUGAAAAAAAUGGUUUUUUCAAAACUGCUCUUAAACCUUAAUGAUUUUAAAAAACGUUCAAUAUACUUGAAAUAUGGUUGUCAAGAGCUUUCCAACGAUAUAUUACACGCCUCGUUCCGACAAAAAAAUUACAAAAAGUUUUUGAACUAAAGAAGACGAUGUGUUAAACAAAACUGAAAGCAUGAGUUCAGCCACUUCGAAAACAUCAGUACAACCACCUGAAACCGUCAGUUCAAAAAGGGUAACAGAAUAAUAUUCUAUUACACGUAACAGAAUAGCCCAGAUAUAUAUAUGCACUGCUUGGGCCAAUAAAUUGGACCAUCGUCAAGAAUCGCACGAGAGGGGCCACAAAACCAGCACCGCCUGCAUGCGGCCCAAAAUGAUGUAUGUUGGAAGCGGUGAUGUGUUUUCCAUAUCAAAUAAUGUACAAUUUAGAUGUGGUUCCUUCCUCUCGAUAUGGACAACCACCAUAAAAGCCAGGUAACUAAGGAUGAAGUACAUAGGGUACAGUGUCGGCCCAACCCACGAAUCCAAGCGUGUGGGAGGGAAUCUUGAGAAUGCAUGAGCUCGAACUUUUCACUAACAUGUGACAGUGGCCCGCCCUAAUACGAUCUAGGAGGAAUCCAUUCAUGGCCAACCCCCCUUGUUAUCGGUCAAAGGGAUGAUAUAUAUAUAGACCCCCGGGAGCCCACAGAUAUGUGUGUCGUCACAAAAAAUCACAGAAGGGAGACGUGGUCGAUUAGAAGACCCUCUAUGCCUUGCAUGCGGCUCGAAAAUAUUUAUGGGUGGUGUGUGAUGUGUUCAAAUCCCCAAUGCACAACUUUGAUGGGGCACCAACUACAUUACAAACCGAACAUCGUACCCCAAGCCAUGUUCAAGACGUACGAUACCGGUUCCCCAACUUUGAGGCAGAGGGGAGGGGUCGUCCAACACAUGUGCUCAAACUUGAUUUGGUCUAACAUGGCACACAUAGCAAUAGGAAACCAUCAUGAUCAAACCCUUCUCCUAUGUUGGUCAAAGGGACAAAUUGUGUGGGCCCCCAUUGUUAUCAGUCAAGGAUGAUAUAUAUAGACCUCAGGGAGCCCACAGAUAUGUGUGUCAUCUAUAAACCACACAAGAGAGACGUGCUCGAUCAGAAGACCCCUUAUACCCUGCAUGCGGCCCUAAAAAUGUAUGGGUGGUGUGUGAUUUGUUCAAAUCCCCAAUCCACAACUUUGAUGGGGCACCAACUACAUUAGUAACAUUACAAAUCGAACAUCGUACCCCCUAGCAAGGUUAAAGACGUACGAUGCAUGUUGCCCANNNNNNNNNNNNNNNNNNNNNNNNNNNNNNNNNNNNNNNNNNNNNNNNNNNNNNNNNNNNNNNNNNNNNNNNNNNNNNNNNNNNNNNNNNNNNNNNNNNNNNNNNNNNNNNNNNNNNNNNNNNNNNNNNNNNNNNNNNNNNNNNNNNNNNNNNNNNNNNNNNNNNNNNNNNNNNNNNNNNNNNNNNNNNNNNNNNNNNNNNNNNNNNNNNNNNNNNNNNNNNNNNNNNNNNNNNNNNNNNNNNNNNNNNNNNNNNNNNNNNNNNNNNNNNNNNNNNNNNNNNNNNNNNNNNNNNNNNNNNNNNNNNNNNNNNNNNNNAUCCAACGUAUGUGCUCAAACUUGAUUUGGUCUAAGAUGGCACACAGAGCAAGAGGAAACAGCCAUGGUCAAACCCUUCUUGUAUGUUGGGUCAAAGGGAUAGAUCGUGUGGGCCUCCGAUUUUUGAGGAACAAGAAAUAACGAAAAAAUAUAUUCUACAAUUUACCAAAACUAGGAUCCCAAGGUUCACAUAAUCAUCAUGACAGGUCACUACAGACACAUUUAGAUGAUAAAUGUAUGCAAUGACCAUAUCAUGGCACUUUAAUGAAGCUUGAGAUACGCAACUUCCCACCGGGUCACCCAUCCUUAGACAUCUCCAGCCCUAGCAUGCUUAACUUGUGCGUUCUAUUUGACUCGGCUAGCGAAUGGGCAGCCAUCCCAUGCUGAUAAGAGUUGCCUCCUUGCCUUUAAGGCAUUUCACAUUGGUCACCGUAUGGGACCUACUCCCUGCAAUCACACACCUUUGUGCUUUUAGAAACUGUGUGCAAUAUUUACAUGGCCGAUGUGUCGCCGCCUAGCCUUCUAUGAGCAUUAACACUUGGCAGUGGGAAACCGAUGGGAGAAGAGGCGGGAAACCGAUGGGAGGAGUGGCUGGAAAUGGUAGCAUGUUUGGAUAUAUAACAACAUUAAUAUGGAAAACUUAGUAAAGAAGGAAGCACGAGCUGGCACGACGCAUGCACACAGUGCUUACCCAUGGGUGCCAGAUGGUUGACCAGAACCGCUUUAAAUAUUCAGGGUUCGUUUGGACUUUUUUUCUACAUUAUAAUUAAGUUUUAUAAGCAUUAAUUUAAUGUGCAUAAUUAAAAUUAUUGCAACAAAAUGGCUACCAAAAUCAUACAUGUGUCCUUGGAUGCAUGUUUAGGUCCCAUGCAAAGAAUGGGAAUGAAUUACAACCAUCUCGACGUCUGGCUUGGCCUCGGACAUUGAGAAUCUCAGUUUAUAUAUCCCCGUAAAUCCAAAACUCACCCAAAAAUCAUGAAACUUGGCAUGGUGUCACGACAUGGCACAUAUAUGUCGUGGAAAAAAUUCCAUUUUGGGGCAAGUUUUAUUACAAACCUCUUACAAACCGGAGCAUCUCUCAAGAAGCCUCAUGGCUCCGAUAGGGAAACGUGCACCCCUUGUGGGUGAAACAAUAAUCGCUGCCUCUUCUCACCUUGUAUUUUUUUCUAUAGGCAACAUGGAACAACAGGAUAUCCAUGCAGAAAUUCAAAAUUAUUCAGGGUUUGUUUGGCCUUUUUAUACAUUAAUUGAGUUUUAUAGGCAUUUAAUGUCCAUAAUUCAAAUAUGAACUACAAAUACAUGCUCCAGUGCACCAAAAUGGCUAGAAAAAUAAUACAUGUGUCCUUGGGUGCAUGUUUAGGUCCCAUGCAAGGAUUGUGAAUGAAUUACAACCGUCUCAGCAUCCUGGCUCGGCCUCAAACAAACCGAAGCUUCUCGCAAGAACCCUCAUGGUUUUGGUAGGGAAACAUGUCACCCUUAUGGGUGAAAUGAUAAUCGCUCCCUCUUCUCGCCUUGUACUUUUUUACAGGCAACAUGGAACAAUAGGAGAUUCGUGCUGAACUUUGAAAUUACUCAGGGUUUGUUUGGCCUUUUUAUACAUUAAUUGAGUUUUCUAGUCAUUUAAUGUCCAUAAUUAAAAUCUGAACUACAAAUACAUGCUCCAGUGCACCAAAAUGGCUAGAAAAAUCGUACAUGUGUCCUUGGGUGCAUGUUUAAUUCCCAUGGAAGGAAUGGGAAUGAAUUCAACCGUCUCGGCGUCCUGGCUCAGCCUCAAAUAUUGGGAAUCUCAGUUUUCAAAUCUUCAUAAAUCCAAAACUCUCUUGAAAAUCAUGAAACUUUGCAUGGUGUCACAACAUGACACAUAUAUGUCGUGGUAAAAAAAAUUCCAACUUGGGCCAAGCUUUAUUACAAGCCUAUUACAAAUCGGAGCUUCUCGCAACCCUCGUGGUUUCGGUAGGGAAACAUGCCCCUCUUGUGGGCGAAACGAUAAUCGCUGCCUCUUCUCGCCUUGUAUUUUGUUUUCUACAGACAACAUAAAAUAACAGGAGUUUCGUGCUGAAUAUUGAAGAUAUUCAGGGUUCGUUUGGCCAUUUUAUAUAUUAAUUAUGUUUUCUAGGUAUUAAUGUCCAUAAUUCAAAUUUGAACUACAAGCACAUGCUCUAGUGCAGCAAAAUGGGUGGAAAACCAUACAUGUGUCAUUGGGUGCAUGUUUAGGUCUCAUUGAAGGAAUGAGAAUGGAUUAUAAGUGUCAUGUUGUCCCGAAACAUUGAGAAUCUCGGUUUUAAUCCUAAUAAAUCCAAAACUCACCCAAAAAUCAUGAAACUUGGCCUGGUUUCAUGACAUGGAACAUAUAUGUCGUGGUAAAAAAAUUGUCCAAUUUGAGACAAGUCGUACACAUUAAUAGCCAACGAAGUCCUUUUGAAACAAAUAGCUGACACGUUAAUAUCGCAAACGGUUGUAUUAUUUCAAUCGCCUGUGUUCCUGUAACCAUUUAGGUGUGGCCACGCGUCCCUCUUUUUCUGGGAGAGUACUACCUCGGUCCUGGUUCAUUGGUCUUCUUUGUAUUUUGUGCCAAAAUUGAACCAUAAUCGGUGGCGUGCGUGCAACCAUUUGAUUAGACGGGACAAGCGCGAGAAGUCUGUCAUGCAGGCUCAGCGGGACGCGUGCAAGCAGUCUGCCACACAGGCUUGAUGGGACGCGUGCGACCUGUCCACCGCACAGGCUCGACGGGACACGUGUGACCUGUCCGCCAUGCAGGCUAGACAGGACAUGUGCGAGCAGUCCGCCGCGCAUGCUCAUCGGGGAGUGAGCUCUUUGACCUCCAUCGACGAGCCGCCCACCUCGCUCACAAGUUCUCCAUUAAUGGCGGCCGAGCCACUGUUUAACAUGCGGUUAAUUAAAGCUCCUGGACGGAGGGUGUUUGCUUGUGAUCACUUGGCCCUGCUCAACAUUAGCAUUUGCUUAGUUCGUGUUUUCAACUCAUAUUACGGAUAAUUUAAAAUGCCACAUGCGGCAACGAAUAAUACGACGACAAAAUAAAAUGGCAACGGAUAAUACGACAACAAAUUUACAAUGGUGCGGAUAAUAAUUGUCUUACAUAUUUUGUAUAAUUUAAAAUGCCACAUGCGGCAACGCCCGGAAGACACGGGGGCAAGAGAAGAAGGAAAUCACAGACAACGAUCUGGAUCGCUAUUGUCUCUACUCCUUGAUGGAUCACCGUGCGACGAGAUCUCCAGCUCCUUAUUCAAUUCCUCAUGACUUUGCUUGACAGCAGCCAUGGAUUCCUCCACCUGGUUCAAGCAAAGUCAUGAGGAAUUGAAGGAGCUGGAGGAUCUCGUGACCCAGCGAUCCAUCGAGAAGUAGAGACAGUAGUGGCCAGAUCAUUGUCUGUGAUUUCCUUCUUCUCUUGCCCCCAUGUCUUUCGGGUGUUGCUGCAUGUGGCAUUUUAAAUUAUCCGGAAUAUGUAAGACAAUUAUUAUCCGUGCCAUUGUAAAUUUUUCAUCGUAUUAUCCGUUGCCAUUUUAUUUGUCGUCGUAUUAUCCAUUGCCACAUGUGGCAUUUUGAAUUAUCCGGAAUAUGAGUUGAAAACACGAAUGAAGCAAAUGCUAACAUUGAACGCGGCCAUGGGAUCACAAGCAAACACCCUCCGUCCAAGUGCUUUAAUUAACCACGUGUUAAAUAGCGGCUCAGCCGCCAUGAUUGGAGAAGUUGUGAGCAAGGCGGGCGGCAGGUGGACGGAGGUCAAAGAGCUCGCUUCCCGGUGAGCAUGUGCGGCCUUGGCUGCUCGCACGUGUUCCGUCAAGCCUGCGCGGUUGACAGGUUGCACGCGUCCCGCCGAGCCUACAUGGCAGACUUCUCGCGCUUGUCUCGUCGAAUCAAACAGCUGCACGCACGCCACCGAGUAUGGUUAAAUUUUGGCAUAAAAUACAAAGAUGACCAAUGAACAAGGACCGAGGUAGUACUUUCCCAUAAGAAAAGAGGGUCGCGUGGCCGCACUUAAAUGGUUACGGGAACACACACGAUUCAUAUAAUACAACCGUUUGCGAUAUUAACGUGUCAGCUAUUUGUUUCAAAAGGACUUCGUUGGCUAUUAAUGUGUGCACCUUGUCUCAAAUUGGACUUUUUUUACCAUGGCAUAUAUGUGCCAUGUCAUGAAACCAUGCCAAGUCUCAUGAUUUUUGGGUGAGUUUAGGAUUUACGAGGAUUUAAAAACUAAGAUUCUCAAUGUUUGAGGCCGAGCCAGGACGCCGAGACAUCUGUAAUUCAUUCUCAUUCCUACCAGAACCAAAGGGUUGGGAGAAGCUCCGGUUUGUAAGAGGCUUGCAAUAUAGCUUGGCCCAAAUUAGACAAUUCUUUUACCAUGACAUAUAUGUGCCAUGUCAUGACACCAUGCCAAGUUUCAUGAUUUUCUGCUGAGUUUUGGAUUUACAGAGAUUUAAAAACCAAGAUUCGCAAUGUUUGAGGCCGAGCUAGGAUGUCGAGACGAUUGAAUUCAUUCUCAUUCCUUCCAUGGGACCUAAACUUGCACCCAAGGACACAUGUAUGAUUUUUCUAGCCAUUUUGGUGCACUUGAGCAUGUAUUCGUAGUUUAGAUUUGAAUUAUGGACAUUAAAUGCCUAAAAACUCAAUUAAUAUAUAAAAAAGGUCAAACGAACCCUGAAUAAUUUCAAAGUUCAGCAUGAAUCUCCCGUUGUUCCAUGUUGCCUGUAGAAGAAAAUACAAGGCGAGAAGAGGGAGCGAUUAUCGUUUUGCCCAUAAGGGGACACGUUUCCCUAUCGAAACCAUGAGGGUUCAUGCGAGAGGCUCCGAUUUGUAAGAGAUUUGUAAUAAAGCUUGGCCUAAAUUGGUCAAUUUUUUGCCACGACAUAUAUGUGCCAUGACGUGACACCAUGCCAACUUUCAUGAUUUUCUGGCGAGUUUUGGAUUUACGGGGAUUUAAAAAUUGAGAUUCCCAAUGUUUGAGGAUGAUCCAGGACGCUGAUACAAUUGCAAUUCAUUCCCAUUCCUUGCAUGGGACCUAAACAUGCACCCAAGCACACAUGUAUGAUUUUUCUAGCCAUUUUGGUGAAUUAGAGCAUGUAUUUGUAGUUCAGAUUCGUAUUAUGGUCAUUAAAUGCCUAGGAAACUCAAUUAAUGUAUAAAAAGGCCAAACAAACCCUGAAUAAUUUUAAAUUUCAGCAAGAAUAUCCUGUCGUUCCAUGUUGCCUGUAGAAAAAAAUACAAGGCGGAAAGAGGCAGUGAUUAUCGUUUCACCCACAAGGGGGACACGUUUCCCUAUCGGAACCACGAGGCUUCUUGAGAGAAGCUCCGGUUUGUAAGAUGAUUGUAAUAAACCUUGCCCCAAAAUGGACAAUUUUUCCACGACAUAUAUGUGACAUGUCGUGACACCAUGACAAGUUUCACAAUUUUUGGGUGAGUUUUGAAUUUACGGGGAAUUAAAAACCAAGAUUUUUAGUGUCCGAGGCUGAGCCAGACACUGAGAUGGUUGUAAUUCAUUCCCAUUCUUUGCAUGGGACCUAAACAUGCAUCCAAGGACACAUGUAUGAUUUUAGUAGCCAUUUUGGUGCACUAAUUUGAAUUAUGCAUAUUAAAUUAAUGCUUAUUAAACUUAAUUAUAAUUUAUAAAAAAGUCCAAAUGAACCCUGAAUAUUUAAAGCGAUUCUGGUCAACCGUUUGUCACCUGUGGGUAAGCACUAUGUGCAUGAGUCGUGGGCUCACGCUUCCUAAUUUACUAAGUUUUCCAUAUUAAUGGUGUUAUAUAUCCAAACACGCUACUGUUUCACGCCACUCCUCCCAUCGGUUUCCUGCCUCUUCUCCCAUUGGUUUCCCACUGCCAGUGUCAGUCCUCAUAGAAGGCUAGGCGGCAACACACUGGCCAUGUAACUAUUGCACAAAGUUUCUAAAAGAACAAAUGUGUGUGAUAGUAGGGAGUAGGUCCCAUAUGGUGACCAGCGUGAAAUGCCUUAAAGGCAAGGAGGCAAGUCCUAUCAGCAAGGGGCGGCUUCCCAUCCGCUAACUGAGUCGAAUAGAACACAGAAGUUAAGCAUGCUGGGGCUGGAGUAGUCUUAGGAUGGGUGGCUCAGUGGGAAGUUGCAUAUCUCAAGCUUCAUUAAAGUGCCAUGAUACGGUCAUUAUAGACAUUUAUCAUCUAAAUGUGUCUGUAAUGACCUCUCAUGACGGUUAUAUAAACUUUGGGAUCCUUGUUUUGGUAAUUUGUAGAAUAUGUUUUUUUAUUCAUUAUUUCUUGUUCUCAAAAAUCGGAGAAUGAUCGAGAUCUCUAUAGGCCCACACAAACUAUCCCCUUGACCCAAUGUACGAGAAGGGUUUGACCAUGACGGUCUCCUCUUGCUCUAUGUGCUAUGUUAGAGCAAAUCAAGUUUGAGCACAUGCGUUGGACGACACCCCCUACCCCCCCCCACCCGCCUCGAAGUUGUAGAACCGACAUCGUACGUCUUUAACCUGAUUGGGGGUACGAUGUUCAGUUUGUAAUGUUACUAAUGUAGUUGGUGCCCCAUCGAAGUUGUGCAUUCGGGAUUUGAACAAAUCACACAUCACCCAUACAUUUUGUUCGGGCCGCAUGCAGGGUAUAGGGGGUGUUCUGAUCGAGUUCCUUUGUGCGGUUUAUAGACGCCACACAUAUCUAUGGGCUCCCCAAGGUCUAUAUAUACACACACAAUCUAUCCCUUUGACCCAACAUACGAGAAGGGUUUGACCAUGACGGUUUCCUAUUGCUAUGUGUGCCAUUUUAGACCAAAUCAAGUUUGAGCACAUGCGUUGGAGGACAACCCCUCCCCCCGCCUCGAAGUUGGGGAACCGACAUCAUACGUAUUGAACCUGGCUUGGGGUCGGGUACGGUGUUCGGUUUGUAAUGUAGUUGGUUCCCCAUCAAAGUUGUGCAUUGGGUAUUUGAACACAUCACACACCACCCAUACAUAUUUUCGGGCCGCAUGUAGUGUACAGGGGGUCCUCUGAUCGACCACGUCUCCCUUGUGCGGUUUUUGUGACGACACGCAUAUCUGUGGGCUCGCCAGGUGUAUAUAUAUCAUUCCUUUGACCGAUAACGAGGGGUACGUGUUGGCCAUGAAUGGGUUCCUCCUAGUUCGUGUUAGGGCCAGUCACAUGUCAUUCAAGCNNNNNNNNNNNNNNNNNNNNNNNNNNNNNNNNNNNNNNNNNNNNNNNNNNNNNNNNNNNNNNNNNNNNNNNNNNNNNNNNNNNNNNNNNNNNNNNNNNNNNNNNNNNNNNNNNNNNNNNNNNNNNNNNNNNNNNNNNNNNNNNNNNNNNNNNNNNNNNNNNNNNNNNNNNNNNNNNNNNNNNNNNNNNNNNNNNNNNNNNNNNNNNNNNNNNNNNNNNNNNNNNNNNNNNNNNNNNNNNNNNNNNNNNNNNNNNNNNNNNNNNNNNNNNNNNNNNNNNNNNNNNNNNNNNNNNNNNNNNNNNNNNNNNNNNNNNNNNNNNNNNNNNNNNNNNNNNCAUAAUUAGUUAAGGUUUUCGACGGUGUAAAAGUUCUCAAAAAUCCUGAAAAAAAUACUGAACCAACGCACCUAUAAUAUAACAUGAUCCAACGGAGGGAUUGAAAAAAUAUGACUGCACGUGUCUUGGACAAAAAGAACAAAAUUUUCAAUAUAUAUUGAUCCUGUAGUGAGCUGAAAUGAUUGUUUUUUUCACCGAGGACACAUAAAUGCAUAUUUUCACAAUCACACCGUUGGAUCAUCUUAUUAUAUUAGAGUGAGGAUCCCUAUUUAUUUCAUAUUUUUUACUUACUUUUAAACCGUUAAAUGUUUAGCAAGCCUUAACUAGUUCUGUGGCAACCUAUGAUAGACACAGUUUUACCUAUAUAUAUAUAUAUAUAUAUAUAUAUAUGAAAAUGGUUGUGUACUCCUGGGAGUACGUACUCCCGCUCCUCAUAUACCACAUAGAUGAAUCUUUUAUACCUCUUCAUUAUUUUUAAUAUACUUUAUUAAUAACUAGCAAAAGAGGCUGUGCGUUGCAACGGGAGAUUAAAACCUUCGUAUGCGCCAAGCAACCCAUUCAUGUCGCCACUUCUGCACGCCACCAUUAUCGACGAUGGUCGUGUGGUCCAACUAUUAAUGUCUUUCAAUUCCAAGCCAAUGAGCUUGGUUGCCCGGCAAUGUCAUGUAUGAGAACUUGUGAUUGAGCUUAGAUUUCAGCAGAAGGACUUGAGGCCUUCUUACAUGUGACUUCGGCGUGUAUGGGAACUUGUGAUUGAGCUUAGAAUUCAGUAGAGGGACUUGAGGCCUUCUUACAUGUGACUUCAGCAUGGAAAACGGGCACAUGGUUGGUGUCGAUCGGUAAGCCGUUCAAAAAAUGUACGAACUGCAAUAUUGGUUCAUGGAGAGAGUAAUGGACUAUUUUGUAUGGGAACUUGUGACUGAGCUUAGAUUUCAGUAGAGGGAGUUGAGGUCUUCUUACAUGUGACUUCGGCAUGGAAAACAAGCACAUGGUUAGUGUCAAUCGGUAAGCCGUUCAAAAAAUGUACGAACUGGGAUAUUGGUUCAUGGAGAGAGUAUUGGACUAUUUUGUACGGGAACUUGUGAUUGAGCUUAGAUUUCAGUAGAGGGACUUGAGGCCUUCUUACAUGUGACUUCGGCAUGGAAAACGGACACAUGGUUAGUGUCAAUCAGUAAGCCGUCAAACAUGUACGAACUGGGAAGAUGAAUGAAUUAGCCAAACCUCUUGCUAUAUAGGUGAGUUGGCACGAUCAAUGGCACUGUCCUUUAACUUCACGUAUAAUCUUGCAUGCCCUUCCUUACUCAUUUCAUCUUGUUUAUUUAUGCGGGCCACAAGCUGAAUGUUGCUCAGCCAUGUGAGAAAAAAUAAUAAUGAUCAUCUAGAAUAACCAAGAGUCCUUCACCAAUCGUGUGUCCACAUUAAUCCUUGCAAAUCAGGGAUCCGGCGUCUCCAAUGGCAGCCUGUCAAGUCCCAUGAUGCGUUCAGAGGCUAAACGGGAGUAGCGCAGGCUGAUGUCAUGUACAGCCGGCCAUGGCAUGCAAGCCAACACGGAUCAUGUUCCUGAAUGUUACUCACUGCUUGCUGCUCACUGCCUGAGCUCACCCUCUCUUUUGUUUUUCAAGAGAUCCAUGCCUCAUCCUCCAAUUAUUUAAUUCUCAAGAAGGCUUGUUCUUAGGCAACUUUCUCACAUAUUUAAACUGGUGGGAUUCAUUGUUACAAAGCUAUGUGGGACUAUCUUUUUAAUAGUAAAUUAAAAUGAAAAGGCUGAUUAGGAGGCCACUUGGCCCUUGGCGAAGCUGCAUGUAUAUAAUGUGCAGCUUGACGUGUUGGUCUUUUUGGGAUUGGAAGGGAAGAGUGCUAGGCUGGCCGUGGCUGAGGCCCAAAAGAGCGUAGGGCAGGCCCCUAAUACACAUCAUAUACGGCAAGGAGCAAAUUGACGAAGCUUUUGUUUACUUACGGACGAAAAUGGCUCAGAUAGAUUAGUACCAUCUUAGAUAUAUAUUUUAAAUUCAAACUGAAAGUGUAAAUUCACGAUAAGAAGCGUAUUGCGACAGUGAGUCCAUAGAGUCAAUCUGUGCUUUAUUAUUAGGGAAAGAUUAUUAGAUACCUCGAAAUGAGUUUCAUGAAGAAAAAAACAUGUGUGCCUCAUAUUUUCGAAGGUUUACAUAUAUACUGAUUUGUUUAUAUGUGAAAAAUGUAUGUUACAAAAAGUACUUCGCAAAUGAUAUUUUUUCAACAAAACUUGUAUCGGGGUAUCUUAGGAUAUGUAAUGAAGCAUAUUGAGAAUGAUAAAGAGAUAUAAUCAAUGCGUAUAUGAGGUAUAUUGAAGAUGGGACUACAUACUCCCAGGAGUACUAUCUAUAUAAGACAACAAUAGUUGUCGUUUGACCAAGCGACAAAUUUUCACUAGUCCAUCUUAUAGUUGGUCAUGGCGACAUGCAUGUAUGACCAAAGUAUCAGUACAUGCAUCCGUCCCGCCGACAUGAAGUGGGAGAUGGGUCAAGCACCCUAGCUAGGUAGCUACGACAUUACCGUCAUUAUAGAUAUGUCCAAGGGGGCUUUCUGGUUGUGAGGCUGGUGCCACCAAAGUGGUGCAUUGUGUCACGGUCAAACCCUUCUCAUAUGUUGGGUCAAAGUGAUAGAUUGUGUGGGCCCACAGAUCUCAAUCAUUCUCCAAUUUUUGAAACAAGAAAUAACAAAAAAAACAUCAUUCUACAAAUUACCAAAACAAGGAUCUCAAGGUUUAUAUAAUCGACAUGUCAGGUCACUACUGGCACAUUUAGGUGCUAAAUGUCUGUAAUGACUGUAUGAUGGUGCUCAAUUGAAGCUUGAGAUAUGCAACUUCCCACCCGGUCACCCAUCCUUAGACUGCUCCAGCCCUGACACGCUUAACUUCUGCAUUUUAUUCGACUCGGAUAGCGUAUGGGAAGCCGCCCCAUGGUGAUAAGAGUAACCUCGUCGCCUUUCCUGCUGGUCACCGUGUGGGACCUACUACAUACUAUCACACACAUUUGUGCUUUUAGGAACUGUGUGCAACCUUUACAUACCGGACCACUUCCAUUCAAACUUACAUCAUUUUUUUACAUAAAACUAGAUGGAUGAAGCAAAAGCUUUGCCUUUUCAUUAAUUAAGAACAAGAGAGUUUCCUAGUUAAUUGCGGAAAACCACAACUGAUACGUGGUGGCAUUCUCCUGCUCUUGCGCGGCAAUGCUUUGACACUCUCGCUUUGCUCCGCUCCAUGGGAGUGACGAACACAUGUAUAGACAUUCGCCUGCUCAAGCACUAGGGCGCGUUGAUACCGUCACGCUCGGCGGUGCGCUGCAGUAGCUCGGCGGUGCAUGGCCGUUCUUGCUCUCCAGCCUGCUCCGGCUCGUUCUCUUCGUCGAGGAGGUUGAUGACGACGACGGCGCUUCACCGGAUCGGCAUUCUUGGAGUGGUAUACCGCGGUAUGACCGAUGUGUCGCCGCCUAGCCUUCUAUGCCCACUGACACUGGCAGCAGAAAACCAAUGGGAGGAGUGACGGGAAACGAUAGCGUGUUUGGAUAUAUAACACCAUUAAUAUGGAAAACUUAGGAAAGAAGGAAGCACGAGCUAGCACGACGCGUGCGCACAGUGCUUACCCAUAGGUGCCAGACGGUUGACCAGAACUGCUUUAAAUAAUCAGGGUUCGUUUGGCCCUUUUUAUACAUUAUAAUUGAGUUUUCUAAGCAUUAAUUUAAUAUGCAUAAUUCAAAUUUGAACUAAAAAUACAUGCUCUAGUGCACCAAAAUGGCUGGAAAAAGCUUACAUGUGUCCUUGGAUGCAUGUUUAGGUCCCAUGCAAGAAAUGAAAAUGAGUUACAACCGUCUCAGCAUCCUGGCUCGGCCUUAAACAUUGAGAACCUCGGUUUUUAAACCCUCGUAAAUUCAAAACUCACGUGAAAAUCAUAAAACUCGGCAUGGUGUCAUGACAUCGCACAUAUAUGUUCUAGAAAAAAUGUCCAAUUUGGGGCAAGCUUGAUUACAAGCCUCUUACAAACCGGAGCUUCUCGGAAGAAGCCUCGUGGUUCUGAUAGGGAACGUGUCCCCCUUAUGGACGAAAUGAUAAUCGCUGCCUCUUAUCACCUUGUAUUUUUUCUACAUGCAACACAAAAUAACAGGAGAUUCGUGCUGAAAUUUUAUAUUAUUCAGGGUUCGUUUGGCCUUUUUUAUACAUAAUUGAGUUUUCUAGGCAUUUAAUGUCUACAAUUCAAAUCUGAACUACAAGCACAUGCUCUAGUCCACCAAAAUGGUUUGAAAAAUUGUACAUGUGUCCUUGGGUGCAUGUUUAGGUCCCAUGCAAAGAAUGAGAACAAAUUACAAAUGUCUCGGCGUCCUGGCUCGGCCUCAAACAUUGAGAAUCUUGGUUUUAAAAUCCCGGUAAAUCCUAAACUCACCCAAAAAUCAUGAAAAUUGGCAUGGUUUCAUGACAUGACACAUGCAUGUCGUGGUAAAAAAAUCGUCCAGUUUGAGACAAGGUACACACAUUAAUAGCCAACAUAGGCCUUUUGGAACAAUUAGCUCACACCUUACUAUCGCAAACGGUUGUCUUUGUUGAACCGUGAGUGUUUCUGUAACCUUUUGAGUGCGACCACGUGUCCCUCUUUUUAUUGGACAGUACUACCUCGAUCCUGGUUUAUUGGUCCUCAUUGUAUUUUGUGCCAAAAUUUAACCAUAGUUGGUGACGUGCGAGCAGUUGUUUGAUUAGAUGGGACGAGCGCAAAAAGUCCGUCAUGCAGGCUCGACGCGACAUGUGCGAGCAGUCCUCCGCGCCUAGCUCGACGGGACGCUCAUGACCUGUCCACCGCAUAGGCUCAACGGGACACAUGCGAGCUGUCCGCCGCACAUGCUUGACGGGACACGUGCGACCAGUCCGCCCGCAUGUUCACCGGGAAGCGAGCUUGUUGACCUCCAUCCACCAGCCGCCCGCCGCGCUCACAACUUCUCCAUUAAUGGUGGUUGAGCCGCUGUUUAACAUGUGGUUAAAGCACCUAGACGGAGGGUGUUUGCUUGUGAUCCCAUGGCCCAACUCAACAUUAGCAUUUGCUUUGUUUGUGCCUCGCCGAGAACAUGAUUUUAGCCUAUUUUCAACUCGUCCGAAUAAUUGAAAAUGCCACAUGCGGCAAUGAAUAAUACGAUGGCAAAUUAAAAUGGCAACGGAUAAUACGACGACAAAUUUAUAAUGGCGAGGAUAAUAAUUGUCUUACAUAUUGUGGAUAAUUUAAAAUGCCACAUGCGGAAACGCCCGAAAGACACAGGGGCAAGAGAAGAAGGAAAUUGCAGAGAGUGAUCUGGGUCGCUACUGUCUCUACUCCUCGAUGGAUCACCGGGCGAGGAGUUCCUCCAACUCCUUCAAAUUCUCACGACUUUGCUUGACAGCAGCCACGGAUUCCUUCACCUGCAGCUCGCGCUCGAUGCGUAGCUUCCUCAAGUCAUCCUUAAGUUCCUCGAUGACAGCUUUCAGCGUCACCGCCGAGGCACUGCUCUGCUCAUGCAGUUUUUUUCCAGCCGGCGGCCUCCUCCUCCACAUUGUGGAGCUUUGCAUUGUCACCCAUGACUCGCACAACAAGACCAGUUGCCUUCUCAACUGAGGCAUCGCUAAUCUCGACCAGCUUCACCAAGCUGUCGACCAACUCCUACUGCUUAAUUUGGCCAGCGAUACUGUCGUCAUCGCUAGCCAAGGAGUUCAGCACUGCCAGCUCGUCGUGUUCGCUGACACGGCGAGUUCACUUGUGAGAGGCCUCGCCUGCCGGUGAGGGCUCGUUCGAGGGCUCCACGGCGUGCUAGGACAUCUCUGUUGCGGCUGCUGUGUAGCGACGGGACCUCUCUAGUGCUUCUGCGGCCUUGGUCUUUGCUCCCUGGUUAUAUGUCGACCCGAAACUCCUCCUACCGGUCAUGGCAGAACGACUUGACAGAAAAGACAUGUUUUAUUGGUGAUGAGGAGAGGAAUGUGAAGUAAUUUUUGAGUGGGUAGUUUUUAUGGCCCAAUGCUAAGUGGGAACACGUUUAUGUUCGAUCGGUGUGAAUAGAUUUGCAAUUACUUAUUGUGUGGUCAUCUGGAAUGUGACAAGAAACAAGCUCAUAAUUUAUUGAUUGUUCUGGGCCCGAAGCCCGAAAUGAUUCCCGGAUGGUGUACGUGGGCCCGCAUUCUCGGUUGUGUAUGUGUGCCCACUAUCACACACAGUUCAGAUAUCACCAUCGUGUCAGAUGGAUGAGUCGUCGCGCCUCCCAUGGGGUGCCAGAAUGUUGACCAGAAUUGUAGUAUGCAGGUGUGGUUGCUCAUCAUUGAGGUGGCCGCGAUGCGCUCUGCUCGCGUACGUCCACACUCUUUGCUUGCCAUUGAGGCGGCCGCGACGUGCUCUACUCUGGCGUCCAUGCGCGCGCUCUGCUCGCCGUUGAGGCAAAUUUACAAUGGCAAUGGUUAAUAAUUUUCUGACAUAUUCAUGAUAAUUUAAAAUGUCGCAUGCGGCAACGCCCAAAACACACAUGACCUAUAUAUGCUUAGUGACUUAAAAUGUUGAUAUGCGACAUUUGCAUACAAUUAUAAUAAAAUAUAGGCUAAAAGGCUGAGGUGGCGGCCUUCUGAUGAUGGUCUUCUCGGACUCCUUGAUUAGCAUAGCACCCUUGCAGCCGUUCAUUCCGACUGUUCGGACUUGUGGCCACGGUACCCUUCUUUUCCUGUGGAGCUGCUGGCGGUGGGAGGCUCUUGGGGCUGCCGGGCCUCUUCCAGUAGAGCUUGACAACGUGCAAUCACGCUCAUGACACGCCCACGGAACCGCUCCAUCUCCAGGUCUCUACAUUGGUAGCAAAUUUCGUUAAUCACCUGCAUCCUCAAGAUAUAACGUUGGCGAUGUUCUACUUCGUCGGGGACAUCAAGUCCGCCAAGGAUGCGCUCGAGCCUGGCCACCACAUCAUCGGGAUCGAGGUUGACACGGCCGAAGGCAGCAAUGAUGAGGCCACAGAUAGGUUGUCUCAUAAUUGAAUCGCAGAGGACCUCUGCCCAUUCAUGGCAGGACAUCAGGCUCUCGAUGAGCAUCAGUGAUGGCGACUCUUCGGGUGGGUUAUUAAUCAUGCCGCCUAGCAGCUCUGGAUAUUUUACACGGUGGAUGGCAAACUACUCAUCACACUUCCUCUGCAAUAUGUCCAUUAUGCUCCCAAGGAACAGCACGGCGAUAUCGCUGCCGAUGGGCCAUGGCACCUCCACUAGUCAAUGAAGCUCUUGCUCUCCGACUUGCUCCGGCUCAUUCUGCUCACCGAAUAUGUACUGUAGGACCGAAAGUAUGUCUAGAGGGCGGUGAUUAGACUACUUGUCCAACUAAAAAUCUUUCAUUUCCCCAGUUUUAGUUUAGGCAGAUUUUAGCAAUUGUGACAAGUCAAGCAACCAACUUGCACAUGCAAUUCUAAUAGUAUAGCAGCGGAAUGUAAAACUUUAUAUCUGAAGGUAAAGGGAAGGGUUUGGAGAAGGCAAACACAAUGGAGACACAAAGUUUUUUGGUGUGGUUCCGAUAGGUGGUGCUAUCGUACGUCCAUGUUGAUGAAGACUUCAACCCACGAAGGGUAAGGGUUGCGCGAGUCCACGAAGGGCUCCACCCACAAAAGGUCCACGAAGAAGCAACCUUGUCUAUCCCACCAUGGCCAUCGCCCACGAAGGACUUGCCUCACUCGGGUAGAUCUUCACGAAGUAGGCGAUCUCUUUGCCCUUACAAACUUCUUGGUUCAACUCGACAUCACGAUGGAGGCUCCCAAGUGACACCUAACCAAUCUAGGAGACACCACUUUCCAAAAGGUAAUACACAGUGUGUUGAUGAUGAACUAUUUGCUCUUGUGCUUCAAAUGAUAGUCUCCCCAACACUCAACUCUCUCUCACAUAUUUGGCUAUGGUGGAAGAAGGAUUUGAGCGGAAAGCAACUUGGGAAAGGCUAGAAAUCAAGGUUCAAAUGGUAGGAAUGGAAUCUUGAUCCCAACACAUGAGUAGGUGGUUCUCUCUCAGAAAAUGAAUGGUGGAAGUGUAUGAGAAGAAGGGGUGGAGAGGUAUAUAUAGCCUCCACACAAAAUCCAACCAUUACACACUUUUGACUCAUCUCGGUGGCACCGAUUAGUUCAACUCGGUGGCACCAAUCUGUUCAAAAAUAUGAACAUUAGGAAUCUCCGUGGGACCGAAUGGAACAACUCAGUGGGACCGAUGUGCUAGGGCUUAGGGUAAACCUCGUCUCGGUGGCACCGAUUGCAUCAAAUCGGUGAGACUGAAGUGAAGAAAUGAGGCAACAGAGAGUUGGCAAGCCAUCUCAGUGAGACUGAUUGCAAUUCUCAGUGAGACAAAAAUAAUUGUAACAAGCAAUAGAGAGUUGGCAAGGCCAUGUCGGUGGGACCGAGAUCCGUAUCGGUGUGACCGAACUGUUAGGGUUUUGGAUGUGGCUAUGUCAGAAUGAACUCGAUGGCUCCGGAUGGAAGAUAUCGGUGGGGCCAAGUUGGAGUUUAGGGUUUUGACAUGUUUGGAUAGAGAAAUGGCUAGGGGUUUUGGAGCAAUAUCACUAAGCACUUUGAGCAAGUAGACCAUUAUGAAACACCUCAUCCCCUUUUAAUAGUAUUGGCUUUCUAUUGGAAUCAAUGUGAUCUUGGAUCACUUAAACAAAGAUGAAGAGUGUUGAGCUUUUGCUAAUCCUUGUCCUUAGCAUUUUGAGGGGUCCACAUCUCUAUGUCAUGCCAUGUCAAUCAUUGAACAUACUGAAAUAUUUAUCUUGAAUGGACAUUAAUUAGUUCAAUCAGAUAUAUGUCGUUAUGAAUUACCAAAACCACCCGGGGAUUAGUUGCACUUUCAGUAACAUAGGAAGGGGUCUAUGUCGAAGCUUUGGUUGCCUGGCAUGCUUGGAAUAACUAAUGGUAGAUGGGUGUGGACUAGAUCUACGCAUAGUGUCGCUAGGGUGAGUUGCUGCCUGGGUCAUAUGGAUCUAGCCACUAGCUGAUGACGGGAAACCGAUGAGGGAAGAGGCGGGAAGCAUUGACUAGGAUUGUGGGAAACGUGUAUAAUGCCAUUACUUUCUGCAUUGGGCGUCUUUGUUGGUAUAGGUACUACCUCUGUCGUGGUUUAUUGGUCCCCUUCAUAUUUUGUACCAAAUUUUGACCUUAGAUUUGACUAAGAAAAUAUUAAUGCAUGUCAUUGAAAAUAAUAUUGUUGGACGACUAUUCUCUGUUAUGUUCAACUGCUAUAUGCAAUAAUUAUGCAUGUGCUUGCUCGCCUUGAGGCGGCAGCGACGCGCUCUGCUCGCUGUUUAGGCGUCGAGGCACGCUCUGCUCGUGUCCCUCUGCGCACUCUGCUCACCGUUUAGGCAUCCAGGCGUGCUGGGGUUGCGUCCCUCCGUGCCCGCUCUGCCAGCGGUUGGCGCCGGCGCACGAUCAUGUUGGGGAAGCUUCAGUUAUUUGAUCUCAGCCAGACACGGGGAAUGGGUGAUGAGAUCAUAUAUUAGGUUAAUUAAUUAUACCUCCAGAGCCGGAUGAUUGCGAUGUGCUCAUCCGGCUCUAGAGGUAUAAUUAAUUAACCUAAACUAUGAUCUUCCGCGCCCGUUCCCGUCGCCCAACUCCAUCCUGUCGUCGGUCGAUGGUGGUAUGCCGAUAUGUGUGGGUAACUAGCUAGGAAGUAGAUCAGUAGCGAGUCGCUGCCACCGGCCAUUUUUGUGGUUAUUUAUAGCUAGCAACUGGCUAGUGGUUAUUUAUAGCUAGCAACUGGCUAGGGGAUUGGGGAUUUUACAAUUCACCCCUAUGGAGCGUGGGAAGCCUUUGCUAGAGCGCGGGAAGACUAAAAGGUGGAGCACACAACCCGACAAUCGUAUGCUAUGUCACGUGUUAUCACAUACCUGUUAACAUAAGGAAACGUAUGUGUAACUUAAUAAUCAUCGCACAGGAUUACUCGCACCAUGCAUCGUAUGUGAUACUCCUAGCUAUCGCAAGCAACUCGUUUGCAUUUUUCAAAGUUUUUUCUACACACAUAAUCGCACAUGAAUUAACUGUAAUAACCGUUUGUGUUAUAUUUUCUCAUCGCAAACAGUUUAUUCGAGUUGCCUGUUUGCCGUGUAUCACACACAUCUUGUUUGCACGAAUCAUUUGUGUUCUUUUGGAUCAUCGCAAACAGUUCAUCUAUGUGAACUGUAUGCCAUCCAUCGCACACACCUUGGUCUGGCUGACAGUUUCUCUUGUUUUCUCUCAUCGCAUACAGUUCAUUCGAGUGAAUUGUAUGUCGUCUAUCACACACACCUUGAUCUGGCUGAGCGUUUCUGUUGGAAUCCCUAAUCGCAAAUAGUUCAUCUGAGUGAACUAUAUGGCGUAUAUCGCAAACACCUUGAUAUGGCUGCCCGUUUCUGUUGCGUUCCUGUGAAGCCCCGAUUCAAUCAUACACUAGUCAUACACUCAAUGGUACACGAUCAAGAAUAGAGACUCAUGGAAAGAUAUUACAACACAAAUCUAGACACAAAUUAAAGUCAUACAAGCUUCAUAUUACAAGCCAGGGGCCUCGAGGGCUCGAAUACAUAAGCUUGAAUACAAACGAGUCAGCAAAAGCAACAAUAUCUGAGUACAUACAUAAGUUAAACAAGUCUGCCUUAAGAAGGCUAACACAAACAUGAACAAUGAUCAAAAAGGCAAGCCUCAUGCCUGGGAGCCUCCUAACUACUCCUGGUCAUCGGCGGUCUCCACGUAGUAGUAGGCUUCAUCGGGGUAGUAGUAGUCGUCAACGGUGGCAGCUGGCUCCUGGGAUAGGAUCAUCUGCACGCAGCAAUCGGGUAUAGGGGAAAAGAAUUAGCAAGCAACCAUAAGUACUCAUCCAAAGUACUCGCGAGACUUACAUCAGAUCUAUACUAAGUAUGCAUCAAUAUCAAAGGAAUGGGGUUAUAUCUUUGGACUGAACUGCAGAAAUGCCAGAAGAAAAGGGAAAGCCUAGUCUAUCGAAGACUAGCAUCUUGUAACACUAGAAGAGUACAGAGUAGCAUAAUAUAAGUAGCAAGUAUGUUUUAGUAAUGUCAAGAGAUCCUUUCUCGACUCCCUGCGAGAAAGCAAUCCCGGAGCCACAUAUCCAUUUCACGUCUCUAGUCUCCAAUUCUAGUUGUAUAGAUCGAGAUACAACUCUGGGUGUCCGUUACCGUGGACGCGGCUAUUCGGAUAGAUUAACUUCCUUGCAGGGGUGCACAAACUUACCCAACACGCUCAUUAACUCUAGUCGGGACACCAUCAGAUCAUACCCGGGCUCGGUUGAUCGACACACUGUAGUCCUACCUAGGCUCAACAGAGAGGCCAACACGUUGGUCUACAUCAUAAGCACACAGGGGUCUUGGGCUCAUCGCCCUUUGCACUCAUGCAAGUUGUAUGGACGGCUGUGAUCAGUCCUAGCUACGUCUUUAUACAAAGCAGGUGCUUGCGUGGACCACCCGGGCGCGUGCCACUCAAUCGCUGAAGUCCGAAGAGCUGUUGGAGAAACAUACGACGCAGAGUGCCCAUACUUAUUCCCGCAUGGUGGUCAGUGCGAAAAGGCCAGAGGCCUACUCAGAUCACAUAUCCAAACCGUUAGUGUCUUGGGAGCGCGCGAAGAAGACCAAUGAUCCAUGAUAUGUGGUCCCGUCGCCCCGUCUCACCAAGUUACGGCAAAGGACUAAGAAUGCCCGGCCGUGGCGCGUAAUUACCUCCCGGGUACCCUCCAGGUCAACCCGACUCCACAUCACUUGUAGGUACCUUCACGGUCAACCCAACUUCACAUUUCUCUCGCGGGUACCCCUCGGGGCCGACCCGACUUCAUUAUGGUUCUGGGGUAAAGUCAAAGUAACUGUGUGUCCAUAACACCAAGGGGGAAUCCGAGGAAUCACCCUCGAUGGAUUCCACUUGAUGUAACCGUCAAGGUGAACUUGGAGGAAUCACCCUCAAGGGUUCACACUUGAGGUAUUGCACGACCGAGUCAUUAUCGGGAGUGGUGAAGGAGGAAUGACCCUCCGUAGACCACGACCAGUUAGCUACACUACAGAGAUCUCGUCAGAAGUGCUAUACGAGGUAUCACCCUCGGCACUCGAUAGUAGCUCUGCAGUGUCGUACAACUAAGGGAGUGUGAGGUUAUGUGUCAGACUCUGGACGCCAAUCACGUUGAUCGAGUCAUCAAUCAUAAAGCGGGGGCAACAGGGAUAAGGUGAGGGGUCACUGGUGGAUCACUAACCAACCUAUACUAAGCAUAUAGGAUAAGCAGGUUGGUAACAAUAUCAUGUUACAAAAUUAGGCUAUGUAUCAGAAUAGGUACAAACGAACAACAGUAGCAAAAUCUAAUGCAAGCAUGAGAGGGAAUGAAUAUGCGAUAUUGGAAUGAUCAAGGGGGUUUUCUUGCUUGGAAGCUCUGCAGACAGAUACCGACCCUCGACGAUGAAGUAGUCGAUCACCGGAUCAACAUCGGUCUCAGGGGUCUACCAAAAAAGAAGUAACAGAGGGGGACGUAAUAAAUAACAAAGCAAUCAAAUGCAUCACAAAGCAUGACAUGGCAAUACGCUGUGCUAGGGGUGACCUAACGCGGUGCUACGCGUUUUAGACGGAGCAGGAAAAUAUCCGGGAAUAUUUUUCGGGCUCGAGGCUUUUAUCGGACAAGCGAAUCGAAGGGAAAGGUUUCAUGUUUGCUGUGUUGAGGGCAUGUGGCAGGUAUGUGGAUGUCGUAUUCGGAUUCGUCUUAUUUUCCUGAUCAUUUUUCAUAUAUAAAUUAUUUUCAUCGAAGCUACGGCUUGUUUUAUAUGAUUUUUCAAAGUUUUAAUCAUUUUUUGAAAUUAUUAUAUUUAGUUUAAUCCGAAUUGACCAAGUCAAAUUGACUAGUCAAAAGGGCAUGUGUGGCCCACAUGUCAUAGACUAUGUACCUAAACUAAUAAAUAAAUCUAACUUAUUUACUGGAGUACUUCAUGUCAUCUACUACUAGACUAACUUAGCACUAAAAUACCCCUGAACUAAGCCUACUGCUAAUUAAACAAGGGCCGGCCCUAGGUGCCUGAGACACAGCCAGCCUAGGCUGUGCUCACGCACGUACACAAAGUACGGCGGCCAGAGCCGGCAGGCGCUGGGAGGCAGGGGCGGUGCCGAGGAGUAGCAGAAGUGAGGAGCAGCAGCAGUCUAGAGCAGCAGCGGCAGUAGACGCGCAACAGCAGCAUGGCAAAACAAGGAGCGGCGGCGGUCGCAAAAGAAGCAGAAGCAGCAAGCAGUAGCCGCGGCAGCAUGCAGCAGCUAGCAGCACGAUGAAGCAGCAGAACAGCGCUAGUAGCAAAGAGCAGUACCAGCGGCAAGAGCAGCAGUAGAGAGCAGCUGCAGCACGUGUGGGCGCGCGGCCGGGAGCGCAAGCGAGGCCGCUAGCAGGAGCAGCGGCGAGAGGGGCAAGGCCAGGGCACGCGCUGGUGGCGGCAGUGGCGCAGUCUGUGGGCGUGGCAAGCAGGGGAGAGACCGCGGGCCCAGGCAGCAGGAGCGGCUAGCGGGCGCGGGAGUAGAGCCCCAGCCGAGCUCCGUCCAAGAGGAGCUACGGCGAAAUCAGCACAGAUCGGAACCGGGGUCAAGGGGAAUCGGUCGAGGAGCUCGCUGCGAAGGCUCAGUGGGUAUCCGGUGGCUCACAAAGUGCCGAACGUCCGAUACACACCAAAAAGUCUGAUAAUAUGGUUGUUUUGCUCUUGGGUUCCUGGCACCUCUAGUGGCUCAGGAGGCACCGGUUGUCCGGUCGCUAUGAUGGUAUGGGGAACAAAUCCACCAUCCCAAGCAAGAGGGCCAUGGCUAUGGCGGCAUGAGAGGUUGAUGCAGCCUUGGUGGAAAGUCAGAGUGGCGUCGGCGGCCACAGGGUAAAAACAUGGCGUGUGAACAUUCAACAUGACCAUUGGCGACUCGCGCGCAACUGAGUUUGUUUUGCUCCAUCUGUGCAACACUUGUGCUAAUUUUUUUUGGUGUUGUUGUAAAUUUUGUGUAUUUUUGCAUAUAGGGCACCUAUUAGAGCACUGUUUUUACCCUACGGUGAUGUAAAAAGCGGUUAGGCCCUAUUACAGGGCACAUAUUAGGAUGCUCUUAGGAAAACAUUGCCUCGGUUAGACUGUUAAGUCAAAACUUCUCUAACUAUAUUCCCCUGAUCGAAAUCAACAUAUGACAAGAUGCUAGUUGAAAAUUUUCACACUGGUCAAACCCCUCGCGUCUCAGGCCGAAUGACUAGAUGAGCAUACAUUUGCAACACAUGCAAAUAAAGGGAGUUCUCUAUAACAUUCAAGACUUGUCUAAUUACGCCUGAAAUUAAUAUAUACAAGCUGAUGGUAGUCCAAUANNN
rnacentral:lncRNA from 1 species